rnacentral:lncRNA from 1 species
UUUUAUUACAAACUUUAGCCGACGAAAUAUGGUCAAUUAUUCGUCGGCUAAAGUCGUAAAAUAACCGACGAAUUCCUUAAAUUCUUCGUCGGCUAAACUCUAGACUAUAGCCGACGAAUUUAUUAAAUUCUUCGUCGGCUAAAGUCUGCACUAUAGCCGACGACGUUUUUCGUCGGCUAAAUUUUGGACUAUAACCGACGACAUUAUUUCGUCGGCUAAAGUCUAGACUAUAGCCGACGACUUCUACAUGUGUCGUCAGCUAAAGUCACCACAGACGAGCUUUUCUCGACGAAAUCUUAGCCGACGAAAGGUCGUCGGCUAAGAUCUUAGCCGACGAAUUAAGCUGACAUGCCGACGAAAAAUUUUCGUCGGCUAAAGUGCUUGUCCUGGUAGUGAGUUAGCGCGUGCUGACAUAUGAGAUAUUGCACGAAAAAUUAGAGUAGCGACUGCGUGACCUUGGAGUUGCGAGGCAAGUUCAAGAAGAUCGUUGAAGACUUUCCGACCUCGAGAUAUGACUAUUGGGGGGAGAAGUGCUUCUUGGUGGGUGGCUAGUGGCAGGAGCUUCAUGGCCACCCUUUUCCCAUGACGAGGAGUUUCCAGCAGAUAGGUACUAACCUCACUGUUUUUCAUUUGUAUUGUUGGUCUCGUUGUAUCAUGUGUUGUCUCUAACUCUUGGGUGUUUUUAUUACAGGAAGAGUAUGAGCUAACCGAGUUGUUGGAGUGGCAGAUCAAGCUGGUUCUAUGGACUUUUGGGGAGGCGAGUGCGAGGAGUUCCUACCGGAUAACCUCACUGUUUUUCAUUUGUAUUGUUGCUCUCGUUGUAUCAUGUGUUGUCUCUAACUCUUGGGUGUUUUUAUUAAGGGAAGAGUAUGAGCUAACCGAGUUGUUGUAGCGGCGGAUCUAGCGGGUUCUUUGGACUUUUGGGUUUUGGGGAGGCGAGUGCGAGGAGUUCCUACCGGAUAUGCUGGCUAGGGAUCUAUAACCAUUUUUGCUAUUUCAAGGUCUUGGGUAUGCGUCUAACUGUUUUUUAAUUUUUUUAUAUAUAUAUUUUUUUAUUGUUGUGUUGAUUCUCAAUGUAGAAAAAGGACGAGGAAGCCCUUAUGACAAGAUCAAUGACGAGGAAGCCCUCGCAGGAUUUCGUGAGGAAGGUCAUCUUGGGCACCGCUUUGACAUUGAUUUGGAGUCUAGCGCGGCAUUGGAAGUCGAUCUCAGGGAGAACGACUAUUUGACGCUGAAUCUUCAAGAUAAAGAUUAUACUCAUACAUCUUCCAGCUAAGGUCACCGCACCGAGGGGAAUAGGGGAGGAGGUUGACAAGAAAGUAAACGAUACCAUGGACCUAGGGUAUGGGGAGGAACCUGGCCAGGAAGAAGAGCAGAGGUAGGGGUUUGGUCGUGAACAAGUAAUUGUGAGGAAGCUACAUGAGGAGGCAACGAAGCAAGUGUGUGGUGAGCAGCAGAGGUUUGGUGAACAUGGGGUGCAUCUAGAUUGUGAAUAUGUGACUCAGCUGUUGGGUGGGUCGCAUGAGCCAGAUUGGGUUCAAGAAGAUUUUACAUACCGAGAUUUGCCUUGAUGAGAUUGAUCUUGACUUCUUGAGAGAUUUCACCUCAAGGUAUUUUUCCUAAAUAGGUUGUGCGCCUCUUAAGUAGGCCAUUUCUUAACUAGAAACUAUACUAAAAAUAUUAGGGACAAGGCCCACUAGACCUAAUUUUAAGAAUUUUAUUCUCACUAACAAAAUCAGAUUUUAAAAUUUUCAAGAGUCAACUUAGACAACAGAAAGACAAAUAUACCCUUAAUGAAUUAAAUAAACUACAAUAGACCAUUAUAAGAGUCUAUUAUAAAAUAAAGUUUCUAUAACCGGAUUCCUACUACAAAUAACAUUGACCGGGCUCCGGGGCCGUUGACUGGACUCCGAUGACUGUUGACCGGGCUCUGGCGACCGUUGACCAGACUCCGACUGCCGUUGACCGGACUCUAAAAAAAGGUAAGGGAUCUAUUGGGGGCAGUAGAGGGUUUGUCGGGGGGUAUAUUGGGUGCAGUAGAGGGUCUUUUGGAGGCAAUAUGCAUGAGGUAUGUCUGGGGGUCUACUGGGGGUAGUAGGAGGGUCUACUGGGGACAGUAGGAGGGUUUAUUGAGGGCAGUAGGGGGUUCAUCGGGGUGUCUAUUGGGGGCAGCAGGGGGUUCGUUGAGGGGUCUAUUGGGGGAAGUAGGGGUUUCGUCGGGGGUUCUAUUGGGGGUAGUAGGAGGUCAUGUCAGGGGUCUAUUGGGGCAGUAGGAGGUUCGUCAAGGGUUCUAUUAGGGUCAGUAGGACCUCCUAUUGGGGGCAGUAUGACCCUUGAACUUAACUGUGCUUUCAAUCACUUAUAACAGGUCCAUACUAGGGGCAGUAGGAUCACCUACUGGGGUCAAUAGAACCACCUACUGGGGUCAGUAGGACCUCCUACUGGGGUCAGUAAGACCCUUGUAUUUAAGGGUGUGCUUCAGUCACUUAUAAAUGCAGGUAUAUCUACACUUCAGUUUUUAUGUAAAUGCAGCUGCUAUAAGCUUAAAAAAACCAAGUAAUCAUCCAUCAAACUCAACAAUCACAACCAAAACUCAACAAUUACAUGAAUUAAUGUACCUAUCCUACAUGGAUGCACUAAAGAAUUGAUUUACCAUUACCAAUCACAACAAAAAUAUUCCUACAGAAAUGUAUGAACAUCAGAAGUCUUCACAUUCUCAAUCCCACCUUGCUACUCCAAGCUAGCCUUCCAAGUCUCUGCAAUCUCCUGGACUUCUCAAUCUUGGGAUCAACCACCACCGAAAUCAGCGAUUCCAACACCAGAUCACAAACCAACCCCAAAUCAUUCCCCUUGUUACAAAUCUUCGAUCUCUUGUCCAUCGGAAACACUUUCGACGUCGCCUCAAGCACAAACCUUGUCGGAUCCAAGCAUUCUUUAGUACAUAAAACCAAAAAUAUAACUGACAGAGAAAAAAAAAACAAGAAAUAUUCGAAAAAAAUGCAACCAGAAAAACCUUCUCAAUCUCUUGUAAGCACUCAAAAAGUUCAUUACCCAAAAGGGAACAUGUUUUAAAUCACUCUAGCAAGGUCCAAUUGCAUUCACAAUGACUAAUACAUAUGUAAUCCUUACUUCCCAGUGGUUAGGUGUGCACUGCCUAGUCACUAAAGAGUAAGGGAAGCCUAUUAUAAUUUGCAGUUCACUAUUGUAUUUCACUAGUCAACUUUAUCAAACCUUCCAUAAAACAAUUGAAGGUACUAACACACACCUUGAAAAAUCGGAACGAGAUCGGAGGAGAGGGCCACCAAAUCGAAUUCGGAGAAGAAAAUCGGAGUCGAUGGCUACCAAAUCGGCCGUCGUCGGUGAGGCGCCAUCCUCAAAGGUGUCGUCGGUUGUCGUUGAGAUGUGAGAGAAGAGAGAGACGAUGUGGGGGACGGUGGAGGCUGUGUCCCGAUGGAGGCCUGGUUCGGCUAGGCCGCGCUUGGUUCAGACAUCGUCGGAAGUAGCCUGGUUCAGAUCUCGUCGGUCGGGCUUGACUCGGAUGUCAUCGGAGGCGGCCUGGUGUCGUCGUCGUGGGCGGAGGCGACCUGGUGUCAUUGUCGUUGGCGAAGGCGUGGUGUCGUCGUCGGAGGUGAUGGCCUGGUGUGUGUGUGUGAGAGAGAGAGAGAGAGAGAGAGAGAGAGAGAUGUGUGUGCGUGUGUGAGAGAGAAGAUACGAAAUAAUAAAAGAGAUAAGGAUUAAUUUAGGCAAGGAAAAAUAGUUAAAUUGCUGACUAACUUUUGUUAAUGGGAACUCUAAGAGUGUUAGGGUGAUGGCACUAUGCCAAUAACAUCAUCAGACGACACAAGAGGCACGACAUAUAAAGCAGCAUUUGAAACAAGUAUCGUCUGAUUGGGUUUUUUUGUGGUUUUUUAGACGACAUAUAAAAUGUAAAAUUGUCACAUCCCGACCCUUAAAUUUUUACCUUAUUUACUAGCUUGGUUAUAAUAAGAAUUUUACCGUCUCCGUCAUUGAGGUAAUAGUUUAAUCGGUCCCUAGAGGUGUUUUGAGGGACGAUUAAUUUCAGGGAAUUAUUCGUGGGAGAAAAUAUGACAACGGUAAAAAUGGUAAAUUUUAGCUAGUAAAAGGUAAUUUUUAGUCGGGUAUUAUUUUUCGGGGUGUUUUAUUUUGGAUUUGGGUGGUAUAAGAAGGUUGGACCGGGCCAAGGGGUGGUCAAAGCCCAGCCCUUUUUCUCUCUCUCUCCCUCCUGGUUUUCCCGCACCCGAGCCCUCUCUCCCCGCCGAUUUUCAUCUUGGAUGUCCGCUGCCGUCCGGCCACCAACCGCCGCCGCACCGGUCCCGUUCGGUCAGCCUCCGACCUAGCUACAUCCCUAGACCGGUGACAGCUCCCCUAGCGCCGCCGUGUGGAAGAUAUCGGGCUCGAGAGGUCCGACUGUGUUAAGCCUCCCAACGCCGGAACUCCCUCCUCCGGCCACCAAAACCGACGAUCCAUGGCUCAUUUUGUAGCCCUCCUCCCGUGCAGCAACCCCUCCAAAUAGCUCACCCUCUCUUGAGCUAGGUAAGGAGAAAGGUGAAGUUGAAGUUGAAAUUCUAGAGCGUUUUUUAUGUUUUUAGUCGAUUACCCUAGUUAGGCUUGGAAUUGGUGUUUGUGCUAGUUAGGAAAGUUGUAGAGCAUGAUGAGUGGAUUAUUCUGUCAAAAUUUCAUAGGCAUUGGAGGUCGCCGGGAUCGGCCUCCGGCCGCCGCUGCUGGCGGAGCCGGCGCCGGCGCCGCCACUGUUUGGAAGAUUUUUAGGGUUUUAAAUUUAGAAUAUUAAGGGGAGUUUGUUGAAGUGAGUUAUGGAAUUUUUGGAUGAGUUUUGGAUAGGUUUAUGAAUUUCCGAAGUGUGGUAUUUUUGGCGGUUAAUUAAUGUAGAAUCCGGCCGUAGGAUUUAAGUCGUAUUUUUGGGGUGGUUGUAAUUACGGCUGCCGAGUAUGAUAUUUAAGUUCGGAUCGUUUUGAUUUAAGAAUAUCGAAGUUAGGCAAUGAUGAGCGUAGUUAUGGCUCUCGGUUAAUUUUGCCUAUUUUGUUUAAAUAUUGGAGUUUUAGUUGGGAAAUUAAUUUUAUAUUUGUGCCAGGGUUCGAGGAAACCUCUCUGGAGUGGCGAUUUGGAUUUCGUCGGGCUUAUGCCUAGAGUUGUGAGUGGACUUUGGUUUUAAAUAAUAUGCAUGCAAUGGUUCAUGAAUGAACAAUUAAUGUCGUGGAGCAUUUUGACGUCAUUUUAAUUUUUGACAAUUUUAUUUCUCUUAGAGAGUAACUGAAAAUGAGAUUUUCGGUGGAUAUAAAUAUGUAAUUAUGAGAGAGUAUGUAUAUAACAGCUAGCUAGCCCUAUGUGUCUGUCCACCUUAAUGGCGUAGCAUAUAGCCGUAUUAUGGUGUGACGUGAGCGUUAGACGCGAGCGUUAGACGCGAGCGUAGUAGCCCUAUAUGAGUGUUUAAUUCAUAUAGGGGGUAUGGACACAUAUUUAUACACCCGUCUGUCCACCUUAAUGGCGUAGUGUAGCACUGUAUUAAGGCGUGACGUGAGCGUUGGACGCGAGCGUAGUAGCCCUAUAUAGACCCAUGAAUUUAUAUAGGGAGUAUGGACGUGUGUAAAUACAUACAUAUAUUAUAGAGCCUGAGAGACUUGAUAUUUAUGAGAUAAAAGUUUUAUCGCUGGUAGCAUGCAUUCGAUUUUCCUUGGAAAUUGAUUUGGAGAAACAUAAAUAUUUUAUUCGUUAAUUUAUUUUUGUCCACUCACUCUAACGUUUUCAAAUGUUUUCCCCUAGGCCUUUCGUUUUAAAAAUACCCAGCUUGCAGAUUAGCUUAGUUGAGGUCGGGCGUACAUGGAGAUGAGGCAUAGUCAUCAUAUAGCUUCCGCUUGUUAAUUUAUUAUGUUUCCUUUCUUCCUAUUAGAGUUGCUCUAAACCUAUAAAUGGUUGGAUAUGAGAUUUGUUUAGAUUAGUAAAUAAAUUGGGUGGUGUUGUGAUUUGGGGAGCACAAAGGCUCCAGGAGUUUAAGGUCGGAUUUAAAUUUUCAGAAGUGUUUGCAGGUAAUAUUAGGAAGGGUAGUCCAUUUUCAAUGGAGGUUAUGCCGAAUUUUCGGUAAACUUUCCUUGGAGGUGGUCCCCGCAUGAUUUACUUCGGGUUUCAGAAUGAAAUUCGGGGUGGGUCAUGACAAUGCAUGCUCCAAAGUUUAAUUAAUUUCAAAGGCAUAUUGGAGAUUUAAUGUGUCGUGAGCAUAUUGAAGUUUUAUUAUUUUUCAUUGGAUUUAAUGAGUUCCAUUUAUUUUCCGGGAACUCUCUUGCUCAUUUUAUUUGACAUGUAGGACAUGUCAAGUGAUUUAUAUUAUUUUUGGGGAAGUGAUAUUUUUGAUCAUUUAUUAUUUUACUUCACCAUAAAAGGGUUGAUUUAUAUUGAUUAUUGCUAGCUAACCUUAUUAGCGGUCCUCUUCAUAUGUGAGUCGCUAUUAUAGCCUUAUUAGCGGUCUUUUUCAUAUGUGAGUAGAGCGCGUAGUGUGGGACGCUAUUAUAGCCUGGGAAGCAACCGAUCGGUAUAUAUAUAUUUAUUGUUAGCUAGCCAUUAUUUAGCGGUCCUCAUCAUAUGUGAGUUGAGCGCUUAGCGUGGGACGCUAUUAUAGCCUUAUUAGCGGUCCUCAUCAUAUGUAAGUAGAACGCUUAGCGUGAGACGUUAUUAUAGCUUAGGAGGCUCAUAGUUAUGGUGAAACCUCUUCCCCAUAUUUUAUUGAUUUAUUAGGAACCAAUGGGAUUGGUUCAUUCUUUUGUCUCUAUAUAUUUUCGGGAAAAUUUCCAAGAGUGGCAUGCAUAAAUAUUUUCUCAAUGGAAAAUAUGGGAAAAGCAUUAAAUUGAUUUAAAUGCUCUAUCAUUGAGUCCAUAUUUUAAUAUUUAUUUUUGUCCACUCACUCUAACAUUUUAAACGCUUCUCCCCUGGGCCUUUCGUUUUAAACGCCCAGUCUGUAGAGUUCGGUUCGGCGAGGGUAGGAGACGAGUCAUAUUUCCCACCUCAUCCAGUUUUCUCUCAUAGGUUACUAGUUUAACUUACCUUUGUAUUUUCUUCUUUCCUAGUAGUUGCUCUGAUAAUCAUGGGAUGGUUUAAGUGAUAUUAUUGUUGUAGUUGUUGUGUGUUACGAGCUUGUGACUCCACCUAGGAGUGUUGUAAAAAGGUUUAUUUGGUAUGUUGUAUGAGAGAUUAAAUUCAUGAAAAUAUUUUGAAUUAUUAUUUCAGUUGAGGUGGUGGAUGAUUAUUUAGGGGAGCAGAUGGCUCCAGAAGAUGUGGAUUAAAUUGUUUUAGAAGUGUUUGGGUUGUUGAUGAUUUUUCUUUCAGGUAAGGUUACCCAUUUUCAAGGCAGGUUAAUUUCGGUAGAAUUUCCCUUGAGGUGGGUCCCGCAGGGUUUAUCCCGGAUUUCAAGGGGAAAUCCAAGGUAGGUCCUGACAACUAGUGUAUUUUUUUGCUUCCUUUAGUCUAGUAGCUCUGAUUACCUUAGGAAUACUGUAUAAUAUUUGGUUGUAUGCUAAGAUUUAUGAUUAUAUUUUAGAAAUAUUUGGAGGUUGACGUUUAUUUUAUCUUAGGAUGUUUAAGUGUUGGAUUUAGAGAUGUUUUAGCAAUAUUUGUGAUGGAUGUGUUUGAGGGGAGCGGAUAACUCUAGAAGUUGAGGAUGGUUGGGUUAAGAUAGAAGUGUUUAUCUGAAUUUUUUUCAGGUUAGAGUUGUCCAUUUUUAGGAAAGGUUAUGCCGAAUUUUUGGUAAAUUUUCCUUAGAAGUAGACCCCGCAUAAUUUACUUCGGGUUUCUGGGUGAAAUUCGGGGUGGGUCUUGACAACCAGUUUAUCAAACGGAGGAAAAUCAAAAUAGUGAGAGUCAACGAAAUCCGAGGGUCACCAUUAGAAGUUCACUAUUUGAUGACUUUCUUCUCACGUAUUAUCAUGUAUAAUAGCAACUACGUAUCAACUCAAGUCGAUGAACAAGAAUUUUCAAGUAACGGCCCCGCCAUUACGCAUAACAUUAAGAAAAAUCAUCGCUGGGUUAUACUUCUUCGGCAUAACUAUGCAUUGCUAACAAUACCAAGGGUCACGAAACCUACUCGCGUUUCCUGAGUAGAGCUUUGCCCAUGAAUUUCUCGUUGUCGUUAACAAAUAUCGUAGUCCCAUAAGUGAAUCGUACAAAAUAAUAGCUGCCAAAGUACGGAAAUUCCCGCAUCAACUCUAAAGUCAAAUCACCUUAGUUACCAAUAGGAUAACCAACCAUACUAACCAACAAAAUAAAAAAUUCUGAGUUGACCGAAUCAAGUAUCAGCAUAGCUGAUGUUGGCUGCGAGUCUAUCGAACAACACUAUGUAGUCCUCUCUUGCUGCCCCCAUAUGAUGUAAAGUGAUUCCCUUUCUUCCAUUUGAUUGCUAGAUUAGACUAGCUUGAUCAUGCAGGUUCAUAAUGUCCAAGGAAGAUGAGAGCACAAUACUAGAGUCUAACACUCAAGUUGCCGAAUGACAGGACCCACCCUGAAUUUCAUCCUAAAAUCCGGGGUAAACCCUGCAGGGUCCACCUCAAGAGAGGUUUUACCAAAAAUUUCGACAUAACCUUUCUUGAAAAUGGAUAACCCUACCUAAUCAAAACUAACCUGCAACACAGUUCUAAAAUUAUACUCCAACCUUAUACUCUUGGAGCCUUCUUGCUCCCCAAGUUCAACACAUCACCCAAAAUAUCAAAUACUAAUUUAAAAGAAUCCCACUUCCAACAACAAAGACAUUCAAGAAGUUUACUAACUUGAUUAUUAGAGCAUAACAAUGAAUAAAGAAUAAGCGGAACCAGCCUCUGACUAUGCCUCGACUCUAUGUAUGCUCAACCUCAAAUAAACUUAGCCUGCAAACUGGGCAUUUGAAACCAAAGGGCCCAGGGAAAAAUAAUUUAAAACGUUAGAGUGAGUGAACAAAAAUAAAUAAAUAAAAGGACAUAGGAUAAGAAACUAAAACUUAAAUACUUUACCACUUUCCAAUAAGCAAUAAAUCUGUUGCAUGCAAGUGUUGAUAACGCCUUCAAAAGAAAAUCCCAAAAAAAAAGGGAACAACAAUAAGUAUUCAUAAAGACUUUUGUAAAAAGGAAUAUCAAAAGGACUAGCCCCGCUAGUCAAGACAACAACAAUAAAUAAGCAGCAAAUAUAACCAUACAAGUGAGCCUGCCAGGCUCGGGUGCCUCCCAGGCAAAAAUACUCCCAUACUCCUUACACCUUCACGUUAUAAUAACAGAGAGGGUGCAGGGCUUGCGUGAUGUCGUCGACCACAUCACAUCACCCGAAGGCGGAAAGGGCUUGAGUAACCCCACUUAAAACGUGGAAGCCACAUCGCCUCAAAAGGCGGAACAAUAUGCUAGCAUUAGUAAUAUAUUAUCCGACAAUUAUGGCAUAAAUAAAGAAACAUAUAUCCAUGUGAGUUUCUCCAAAACUCAUAAUUAAAGUAUAAGUACGAUUCCCAACCGUACUCAAGGAAUUCAAAGAGCAAAGAAAUUAAUUAAAUUCAACGACGUGUUCCACACGUUAAAAUGCUCAAAGAAAUAAUUAAUUUAAAUAAUUAUCAUCUUUCGAAAACCAGGCGAUAUGCAAAUCUGGAUAUAAUUUUAAAUCCAGAAAUCAUAUAGAAUAUCAAAAAUCAAAUACCAAAUCUCUAACCCAAGCUCAAAUCCAUAAGUUCAUUAUCGAAAAUAUAACCAAUAUGUCAAUCUCAAAUAAAUUCCAUAAAUCAUUGCAAAGAUUAAUCAAUGCAUCAACCAUCAAAUAAAUUCAAAGACCAUUUCAUAAGCCGAAAUUUCAAUUUAAGCUUGGAAAAUAUAAUGGGCAACUUAUAAAAUCAUGCAUGCAUAUUAAUUUAAAACCAAAAUGUCCACUCACAAUGAUUUGGCAGAGUUAGCCGGUAUGUCGUGCUAAGACUUCACAAGUCAAGAUCCUCCUCUCGAUUUUAAGAAUAUACGAUAGAGACCUUAAUAAGAAACUAAACUGUAUAAAUAAUUGCAUGACAAAACCCCUUCUCACAUUUGCCAAUUACUAACUUAUACAUAACACAAACCAUUCCAAUUUUAUUCCUUCACUAAUUAUACUUACAUAACAACCAACAGACUUCUAAAAUAAAGUUCACCCUCACCUCAUUUAAAAGCUCAAAGUGGAACUCUAUAAUUUACUCUCAGCACCUACAAGGUGUUUAGCUGCACUAACACUUUCAUCGCCACGUACCUUGCCAAUUUCAUAUAUCAACCAUGAAUGAGAAACAAACCCAAAGCCAUAAACCAAAUUCGUAAACUCAGCAGCUGCUCACCUUAAUAUCAAAAUCCUAAAAAAUGAUCCCAGCCUCUCCAAAGAAGGACUCGGCAAUCUGCGGCCAAAUGAACCAAAAGAGGAUAUGAACCUGAGGUUCAUUCCUCUACCACUAAUGCAGUAGCUCUGCCCAAUUCUCCUUUCAACCUCUUCUUUCCUAUUAGUGAAAAUAACAUAUCUAGGUCACCCAAAACAACAACCCAACAACCAACUCAUAAACAACUCAAAUCCCAGAAUCUUCAUAUUUUCAAGAACACAUAUUCCCCAAAGUUGAACCGAGAAGGGAAGUCACUUACCCAGACUUCCGAGGCUCAAGGAGAAGGUAGCCAAUCCAAUGGUCGGCGGCCGGAUGAAACUCAGAGCCGUCGUCGAUGUUAUCGGCGGCAGCAAACUCGGAAACCAUAAAACCCAAAUUGUUAAGUUGUACUCAAAUCAAAUAUCUAAUAACACAGGCCUGUAGAUCUAGUCAAGGAGAAGAAGAUUCUCACCACACACACAUGAAUCGGUCACCAGAAAAUGCAGAACCCGAGCUCUUCUUUUCAUUUAGUCUCCUUUGAAUUGGGUUACAUGUGUGAUCUAAGGACUGGGUUUUGUAGAUGAGAAGAAGAGGAAGAGUUUGGUGGCGGUCUUGCAUUCUAAAAUGGCCGGAAUCGGCGGGAGAGCGACAAAGAAGAUGGCGGCGGCGGAGAGAGAGAGGAGAGUCGGGAGAGAGAAGAAAAAUGCAGAAAAAGUUUGGGCUUUUGACUCCAAACUCUGACCCAAUCCACACCUAUAAAUCCCCUUCAAAAAUAAAACACCCCAAAAAUAAUACCCUACUAAAAAUUAGUUUUUUACUAGCUAAAAUUUACCCUUUUUACCAUCAUCAAAUAUUUCUCCUACGAAUAAUUCCUCUGAAAUAAUCGUCCCUCAAGACCCCUUUAGAGACCUUUGAAACUAUAAACUCAUUGACGAAGACAGUAAAACUCUUAUUAAUACCAAGCGAGUAAAUAUAGUAAAAUUUAAGAGUCGGGAUGUGUCACCAAAACUGCUAGAUGCCAAAGAUAAAUACUCUUCGUAGAAUGCCGAAUUGUUCUAAUACGUACAAUAACCAGGACGCCUUUCUCGAUAAGAUAUGACUGAUCAGCAAACCUGUGUUGAUCCGCACCCUGCAAGGCCCGACUCUACAACUCAUGUCGAAAAUUUACGUAUGUCUAGAACAAAUCGGUCUUAGAACGCUCCGAGAUAUUGACUAUACUCUUCGAUCGCCACGCUGCUCUAGUAGUUUCCUCAAAGAAUUUAGAGUCUAAAAACGCGCUCUAGCAACAAGUCACACACUCUACACAUAAGUGAGACACCCCGAAUCUCCUCGAUUCAUGUGCUAACCCUUGAGCAACGCGCAAUUGACGGUCGCAUGCUCCAUCUCAAGAUUGUGCAUCAACCACAUCAUCGUCUGUGCAAUGCUCAAAUGGAAGCACGGGAUUGCUCGAAUCUGUUAGAGCCUCGACAACCACUUCAAAUCCCAACCAGUCAAAUUCAUCACUAUAACAGUCUCCAAUCAGAAGCUAAAUUUGUGGGAUAGGCUACCUCAAGAUCUACAUCUCACUCAUUCUCUUAAGAAGUAUCUGCAUCAGCUAACAACAAUAGCUAAAACGAAGAACAAUUAUUACAAGAUCAACAACUCCAACCACACCGCUCUAUCCUUGUGUAUCGUCAUACACACUGUCACUCCAAAUUUAUCCCGACACUCCUCUCCUAACAAUUUCACAUUUCGAUGUAAAGAACACCCUUAUGGAUAACCACGCCACACCUAACUUCUUGAUUUUUUCAUUCUAGCGAUCAACGUCGCUGGAGAUUAGAGUUACCUAGAACCUCCUAAAAUUCUCAACAUGUUUCUUCACUUCUCGCCCUGUAACUGAAAUACUCAAAGAUAAGAAUGAGUUGGUUUAGGGACUAGUGAUACGAAACUUCUUUACUACCACUAAGCGUCCAAAGCAUUUCUACGACUCCACUUGCUUUACCAAGUUCAGUUAUCUAUCAACAAACAUAUUGCUUAAAACAAAUAAGUUCAACAUCUCCACGCAACAGCCUCAAAUAACAAUUAGAAUGCCCAAUGACAUCAUGAAUUAAAUUCUCCAUUUGCUGCCGUAAAGUCAAAACAACCAUAACCAUCUCGCAUCCGCUUCACCAUUAUAUACCAACGCCAUUACACUUACAAUCCUUCCAAAACACUCAACGCAAAUAGGUGAGCAAAUCCCAGAUUUACAGAUACCAAACGUAAAUAGACCAACAACAAUUCUAGAAACCACUCUUCAAUACAUAAAAAUUAGCGAGAAAUGCAUAACAGCCCUACAUAACACAUUCAGUAAUCUCCACAAUUAAUUAACUCAAGCAAUACCUCUCUACUAUUUAUCUCAAAGCAAGAUAACACUUAAUUAACUCCCUUAUAAUAUCUCUUAUUUCAACACUAAUCUUAUCUAAAAAUUUCUCAAUCCUUCAUUCACAUGCAUGUCCUCUCUAUCACUAGUACCCACCCCGAAUUUCACCCUGAAACCCGAAGUAAAUCCUGCGGGGUCCACCUCCAAGGAAAAUUUACCGAAAAUUCGGCAUAAUCUACCUUGAAAAUGAACGACCCUUACUUGAAAAAUUUCAGAUAGAUACUUCUAUUAUAAAUCAUCCAUCCUCAACUCCUGGAGUCUUCCUGCUCUCCAAGUUCAUAACAUCUCUGUCAUACCUCGGUUCUUAAAUUAUUUUACGGUUAUUUACUUUUGGUAUUCCUUUGGUCUCUUACCGCUUUGAGUAACCAUUUACUAUUUAAGGAUCUUGGAGUUGACUUUUUGUAGAAAAAUUAUUUUGGGAAAACUUUCUUCAUGAAAGUCGUAGAGGACGUUAAACCGAGUUCGUGGAUAUGUGGCAUGUUUUAAUUGAAGUUUGUACGAAAAAGUUAUAAGGGUUUAAAGUCAGGGGCAGAUUAGUAAUUUUAUAGAAAACUCAAGUUCUAUAAAUAGCAAAUCAGACCACAUUUCUGGAUAAUUCCAGAAUUUGCCCAAAAAUUCUAGAAUUUGGAAGCUCUCCCUUCCAGCAGCAAUCCCUUAAAAGGAUGCGACCUAACUCGAGCUAGGUAAGGAGAAUCGAAGGUUUGAAAUUCAAAGGUUUUAAAUUUGGGAUUUUUAAUGUUUGGCUUUGAUUACCCUAGUUAGGCUAGAAAUUGGACUUCGUGAUAGUUAUGAAAGUUGUUUGGAAUGUUGAGAGGAAGAUUGUGUCAAAAUUUGGUAGCCAUUAGAGGUCGCCGGAGUUCGGCUACCGGCCGCCACCGCCGCUUAGGGGUAGUUUUUCAUGUUUUUGAGUUUGUCUUAAUGAGAGGAGUUUAAUGAAGUAAAGUUUGGAAUUUUUGGAGGAGUUUUGGUUAGGUUUGGGAUUUUUUCGAGAUUGAGAAUUUUGGCGGUUGUUACAAUAAAAAUCCGGCUGUUGGAUUUCCUUGGUAUUUAUUCUAGAAUGUUAGAAUUGAUAAAUUAAGGUUGUGGUGGAGUUUGAUGUGAAUCCGGUAAGCUUAACCCUAGUAAGACUGGUGGGUUAAGCGGAAGAGAUUUAGGGGUUUAUAUUCAAGUAUUUAUUUUCCGGAAUUGAAGUUUGGUCCUAAGCAUAUUUAUUGUGCCAGGAUAUGAAGGAAACCUGGCUUGAGUGGUGAUGCGGAUAUCGUCGGGCUUAUGCCUAAAUUUGUGAGUGGACAUUUUGGUUUUAAAUAAAUAUGCACGCAAGAUUUUAUAAUUUAUUAUUUUAUUUUCUGAGCGUAUAUUAUAAUUUCGACUUAUGAAAUGAUCUUAGAAUUUAUUUGAGUUUGAUGCAUUGACUAAGUGUUGGUCAUGAUUUAUGGAUUUGAACUCGGAUUAUUAUUUUAAUAUUUGAGUUUGGAUAUUCUUUAUAAAUUCCGGAAUUCAUUAUAAUGAUUGUUUAAAUGGUGGACUUUGAGAUUUAUAAAAGAUUUCCGAAAAUGGGAUUUUCGGUAAUUCUCUUUUUAUAACUAUCUCGUUUAUUUGUGGAUUAUCAAUCUUGGCAUUGAGAAUAUUUUAGCGAGUAUUUUCGGAGUGAGGAAUUAUUUACAAUUUAUACUUGUUAAUUAAACUCGCUUAUAUUAUGGAUUUGAGAAUAUUUUGACGUGUGAGACACGUCAUUGAGUUUAUUUUAAUUUCUUAUGAUAAUUUGCAAGGUUGGGAACCGUACCAUUCAUAUGAUCUUGGGGAAGUUUAAUAGAUUUAAGUGAUUUCGUAUGUUUUUAGUCACUAUAAUAUAGGGUCGCUUAUAUUUCAUUACUAGCUAGCUUUAUUAGCGGUCCUCACCAUAGGUGAGUAGAGCGCUUAACAUGGGACGCUAUUAUAGCCUGGGAGGCACCGAUCGGAUAUUAUUAUUUAUUGCUAGCUAGCCUUAUUCGACCCGAGCCUUUGAGGCUCCUUUUUCAUGGUGAUAACUCUUCCCCUUAUUUUAUUAUUCUCAGUUAUGUAUUUGAUUAACCAGCGGGGCUGGUUAUCUCUUCUUACAAAAUAUCUAUAUUUGAUUUACCAGCGGGGCUGGAUUGUCCAUUCUUAUUGGUAUUUUGGAUUUAAAGUUAUUUGGAUUAUCAAAAUUGCGUGCAGCUAAAAGUUUUUUUAAGUUGAAAUGUGGGAAAGUAUUUAAAUUGCGUAUUGUUAAAUUAUUUAUUAUUUUUGUCUACUCACUCUAACGUUUUUAAAUUACUUUCCCUUGGGCCCUUUGGUUUUAAAUGCCUAGUUUGCAGGCUAAGUUUAAUUAAGGUCGAGCGUACAUGGAGUCGAGGCAUAAUUAGAGGCUGAUUCCGCUUAAUCAUUAUUCAUUGUUAUUCUUUCAUUACUAGAUAUGCUCUGAUAACCAGUUAGUGAAUAAAUGAUGUCGUUGUUGUUGGUUGUGGAAUUCCAGAAGUUUAGUAUUUAGUAUUUUGGGAGAUGUGAUGAACUUAGGGAGCAGAAAGGCUCCAGGUGUUGAGGCUGGUUUGUUUGGUUAUAGAAGUGUAAGUUGGAUUUUUCAGGUAAGGGUUGUCCAUUUUUAAGGUAGAUUAUGCCGAAUUUUCGAUAAAUUUUCCUUGGAGGUGGACCCCGCAUGAUUUACCUAGGGUUUUAGGGUGAAAUUCGGGGUGGGUCCUGACAAUCUCUCAAAAUACAUCAAGCCUUAUUCAACUAAUAAUAAUCACAAAUGGUCAUCAGAGCAUCUAUAAUGAAAAAAACACAAUGAAUAAAGAAUAAGCGGAAGCAGCCUCUGACUAUGUCUCGACUCCAUGUACGCUUGACCUCAAUAAACUCAGCCUGAAACUGGGCAAUUAAAACCAAAGGGCCCAGGGGAAAGUAAUUUAAAAACGUUAGAGUAGGUGGACAAAAAUAAUUUAAAUAAUUUAAUAAAUACGUAAUUUAAAUAUUUUUUCACGUUUCAACUUUAAAAACUUAGCUGCACGCAACUUUGAACAUCCUUAAAACUUUAAAUCCAAAAUCACGUAAAAAUGGACAAACCAGCCACACUGGUUAAUCAAAUACUGAAAUCUUGUAACCAGAGACAAAUCAACCCCGCUGGUUAAUCAAUUACAUAAAUGAGAAAAAUAAAAUAAGAGGAAGAGGUAUCACCAUGUAAGAGGAGCCUCCACGGCUCGGGUCGGUGCCUCCCAGGCUAUAGUAGUGUCGCACGCUAAGUUCUCGACUAACCUAUGGUGAGGACUGCUAAUAAGGCUAGCUAACAAUAAAUAAUAACUGAUCAGUGCCUCUCAGGCUAUAGCAGCGUCCCACGCUUAGCGCUCGACUUACCUAUGGUGAGGACCGCUAAUAAGGCUAGCUAGUAAUGAAUAAGAGCGACCCUAAUAUAGUGACUAAAAUCAUACGAAAUCACUUAAAUCCAUAAACCUUUCCCCCAAGAUCAUGCGAAGGGUACAAUUCCCAACCGUACUUGAAAAUUAUCAUCAUAAAUUAAAAUAAGAUUCAAUGACAUGUCUCACAUGUCAAAAUAUUCUCAAAUCCAUAAUUAUAAGCGAGAUUUAAUUAUCAAGUAUAAAUUGUAAAUAAUUUCUCAAUCCGAAAAUACUCGUUAAAAAUAUUCUCAAUGUCAAGAUUGAUAAUCCACAAAUAAACGAGAAAGUUAUAAAUAGAGAAUUACUGAAAAUCCCAUUUUCGGUAAUCUUUAAUAAAUCUCAAAGUCAACAAUAAAGCCGAUAAUAAUUAAAUUCGGAAAUCAUAAAUGAUAUCGAAACUCAAAUACCAAAUUAAUGAUCCGAGUUCAAAUCCAUAAAUCAUGGUCAACAAUUAAUCCAAGCGUCAAACUCAAUAAUUUCCAAGAUCAUUUCAUAGGCCAAAGUAUGAAUAUAUGCUCGGAAAAUAAAAUGAUAAAUUAUAAAAUCUUGCAUGCAUAUUUAUUAAAAGCCAAAGUCUCCACUCACAGAUUUAGGCAUAAGCCUGACGAUAUCUGAAUCGCCACUCAAGCGAGGUCCCCUCGUAUCCUGGCACAAUAAAUAUGUUUAGAACCACUCUUUAAUUUAGGAAAAUAAAUGCUUUAACUUAAGCACCGAAAUCCUUCCACUUAACCCACUAAUCAAGCUAGGGUUAAGCUGAUUAGAUUUUUACCAAACUUCAUCGAUUCUAGCACUUUAGGACCAUAACCAAGAAAAUCAAAUGGUUGGAUCUAUUCUAUCAAUCGCCAAUUUCUCUAAUCUCCGAAAAAUUCCAAACCUAACCAAAACUCCUCCAAAAAUUUCAAACUUAACAUCAAUGAACUCCUCACAGCAUAACACAUUAAUUAACAUGAAAAACUACCCCCAAGUGGUGGCGGCGCCGUCUGCUCCACCGGAAGCAGCGGCUGGCCAGCCCUUACUCCGGCCACCUCCAAUGAUCACCAAAUUUUAGUACAAUCAUCCUCUCAACAUUCUAAACAACUUUCAUAACUAGCACAAAGUCCAAUUUCAAGCCUAACUAGGGUACUCGAAGCCAAACAUUAAAAAUCCUAAUUUAAAACCCUAGAAUUUCAAAUGCCCGAUUCUCCUUAUCUAGAUCAAGAUGGAUUGAAACCUUUUGAGGGUUUAUUGUAUAAGAGGAGAGCUUCCAAACGAGACAAACAACUCUGGAUAUGGUGGCCGGAAGAGGGAGUUCCGGCAACGACUCCGCCACGCACAGUCGCCUCUUCUCGCCGUGAUUUCUCCUUCACGGCGGCGUGACACGGGCUGCCACAUACCUAGACUUGUAGAGGAUGCUCCGAGCUUCAAAUCGAUACCCAGCUCGCCAGCUAACUCCGUUGGACGGCGGCGGAUGGAGGCGAUGAAGUCGCCGGCAUAGAGAGAGACGCGAGAGAGAGAAGAGAGAGAGGGAGGUAAGUUCUGAUUCUCUACCUCACCUCAAAUGGUAAGUUUCCAUUUUUAUACCUCCAACUAAAAUACUAACUUUACAUUUUACACCAUAACUUUCACAUACGAACUCCGAUUUUAACGUAUAGCAUGUCCACAGAUUCAUAUUAACGUUCUCUACAACUCCUUAAAGAAAUUUUCCUAAAAUAAUAUUCCUACAAAAAGUCAACUCUAGGGUCCUUUAACAGUAAACGGUUACUCAAAACAGUAAAAGGUCAAAGUAACACAAAAGUACAUACCCGUAAAUUAACUUAAGAACCGGGAUGUGACACAACUCGCUACUUAAAUAUAAGUCAAUAACUCAUUGAAUAAGGAAUACAACACUGCAAACACAUGUCACUUCCCAACUCAUAAUCGAACUCAAAAUCUCGCAACCACAAUAAAGCACAAAUGAAAUGUGCAAAUCACUUACCUUUCCAUUACUCGGAAAAUAACCAAGAUACCCUUUGAGGUCGGCAUACAGAGGCAUAGUCUUGAAGAUGUAGACAUUUAUGACACAAUACUGUCCAUAAAUAAGACAAUAACAACUACCUUACAUACCUAAUAAACACAUAGCAUCUGAACUCUGAAGCAUAUAAUGCUAAUGGAUCCGCUGCGGUGGGACCACCACUCUAUAGACACUAAGUAUCACCAAGUAUAUGGUAGUGAUAGGAAUCGGAAAACCUAAGCUCUGAUCCCAACUGUUAGGACCCACCCCGGGUUUCACCCUGAAAUUUGAAGUAAACCCUGCGGGGUCCACCUCAAGAGAGAUUUUACCAAAAAUUUCGGCAUAACCCCUUUGAAAAUAGACAACUCUACCUGUCAAAACCAAACAUACACUUCUAUAAUCAUACUUCAACCUUGUACUCCUGGAGCUUACAUGCUCCCCAAGUUCAUCACAUCUCCCAAAAUAUCAAUUACUAAUCUAAAAGAAUCCCACAACCAACAACAAAAACAUUCAAUACAUUACUCACUGGAUUAUCAAAGCAUAUCUAUAAUGAAAGAAAAACAAUGAAUAAAGAAUAAGCGGAAGCAGCCUCUGAUUAUGUCUCGACUCCAUGUACGCUCGACCUCAAAUAAACUUAGCCUGCAAACUGGGCAUUUGAAACCGAAGGGCACAAGGGAAAGUAAUUUAAAACGUUAGGGUGAGUGGACAAAAAUAAAUUAAACAAUUUAACAAAACAUAAUUUAAAUACUUUCCCAUGUUUAAACUUUAAAAACUUAGCUGCACGCAACUUUGAUCAUCCAUAAAACUUUAAAUCCAGAAUCACAUAGGACUAGACAAACCAGCCCCGCUGGUUAAUCAAAUACUGAAAUCUUGUACGAAGAGACAAACCAGCCCCGCUGGUUAAUCAAUUACGCAACUGAGAAAAUAAAACAAGAGGAAGAGAUAUCACCAUGUAAGAGGAGCCUCCCAGGCUCUAGUAGCGUCCCACACUAAACGCUCGACUCACCUAUGGUGAGGAUUAUUAUUAAAGGCUAGCUAGCAAUAAAUAAUAGUAUCCAAUCGGUGCCUCCCAGGCUAUAGUAGCGUCCCACGCUAAGCGCUGAACUCAACUAUGGUGAGGACUGCUAAUAAAGGCUAGCUAGUAAUGAAUAAUAACGACCCUAAUAUGGUGACUAAAAACAUACGAAAUCAUGUAAAUACAUAAAACUUCCCCAUGAUCAUGCGAAUGGUACGGUUCCCACGUACUUGAAAAUUAUCAUAAGAAAUUAAAAUAAAACUCAAUGACGUGUCUCACACGUCAAAUUAUUCUCAAAACCAUAAUAUAAGCGAGAGCUAAUUAACAAGUAAAAAUCGUAAAUAAUAUCUCAAUCCAAAAUACUCGCUAAAAUAUUCUCAAGGUCAAGAUCGAUAUUCCACAAAUAAACGCGAAAAUUAUAAAUAGCGAACUACUGAAAAUCCCAUUUUCGGAAAUCUUUUAUAAAUCUCAAAGUCCACAAAUAAAACAAUUAUAAUGAAAUCCAGAAUUUAUAAAGAAUAUCCAAACUCAAAUUCCAAAUUAAUAAUCCGAGCUCAAAUCCAUAAAUCAUGACCAACCAUUAAUCAAUCUCAAAUAAUUUCCAAGAUCAUCUUAUAAGCCGAAAUUAUAAUAUAAGCUCGGAAAAUAAAAUAAUAAAUUAUAAAAUCUUGCAUGCAUAUUUAUUUAAAACCAAAAUGUCCACUCACAAAUUUAGGCAUAAGCCCACCGUUAUCUAAAUCGCCACUCAAGCGAGGUCCCCUUGUAUAUUGGCACAUUAAAUAUGUUUAGAACCACUCUUCAAUUUAGGAAAAAAAUAAAUGUUUUAACUUAUGCACUGAAAUCCUUCCACUUAACCCACUAAUCAAGCUAGGGUUAAGCUAAUUAGAUUUUCACCAAACUUCAACUACAACCUCACUUAAUCGGUUCUAGCACUUUAGGACCAUAAUCAAGAAAAUCUAAUGGUCGGAUCUAUUCUACCAACCACCAAGUUCUCCAAUUUUUGAAAAAUCUUAAACUUAACCAAAACUCCUCCAAAAAUUUCAAAUUUAACAACAAUGAACUCCUCACAGCAUAACACAUUAAUUAACAAGAAAAACUACCCAAAAGUGGCGGCGGCCGACAGCCCGUACUCCGGCGACCUCCAAUGCUCACCAAAAUUUGACACAAUCUUCUUCUCAACACGCACAACAACUUCCUUAACUAGCACAAAGUCCAAUUCCAAUUCCAAUUCCAAUUCCAACUUCCUUCACUAGGGUAAUCGAACCAAAACAACAAAAAUCCCAAUUUAUACCCUAGAAUUUCAAAUGCCCGAUUCUCCUUACCUAGCUGAAGAUGCACUGAAACCUUUUGAGGUUUUGUUGUGUAGGAGGAGAGCUUCAAAAUGAGACUAGUAGCUCCGAUUUUGGUGGCCGGAAAAAGGAGUUCCGGCGAGAACACCUCCGCGGCACAGCCGUGACUUCACGGCGAUUGUGCUCCCUCACGGCGGUACGACUCCAUCGGCCAGCUACCCAGAUCGACGGAGGAUAAACCAAGCUUCAAAUCAGUACCCACCUUGCCGCCUAACUCGCCCGGACGAUGGCAAAUGGAGGCGGAGAAGUGGCCGGUCGGAGGAGAGGCGCGUGAGAGAGGAGAGAGAGAGAGAGAGAAAGAGAGAGAGAGAGAGAGAGAGAGAGAGAGAGAGAGAGAGUAGGNNNNNNNNNNNNNNNNNNNNGAGAGAGAGAGAGAGUGAGUAACUUUCUGUUUUUCUACCUUACCUCUUCCGGUAAGUUUCCCUUUUUAUACCCCCAACUGAAAAUAGUAACUUUACAUUUUACACCAUAACUUUUACAUACGAACUCCGAUUUUAACGUAUAGCAUGUCCAUGGAUUCGUAUUAACGUCCUCUACGACUUCCUUAAAGAAAUUUUGCCAAAAUAAUUUUCCUACAAAAAGUCAACUCUAGGGUCUUUGAAUAGAAAACAGUUACUCAAAAUGACAAAAAAUCAAAGUAACACAAAAGUAAAUACCCGCAAAUUAACUUAAAAACCGGGAUGUGACAGAUAUUCCUCAACUACUUCUCCAAAUUGUUCCAACUACUCUUUAUUAGGAUGAUUCCAAGGACAAGGACAGGAACAAGAACAAGAACAUAUCCUUAAUUAGAGCUGUAAGGGACAAAUCAAAUGCUGCCAUAACAAACAUUAACCAAAACGAUCCCAACUGACUCCCGCAAUGGAUUAAGUAGUUGGUAAAUUGACAGCCAAUCAAGACUUCUCUAAAUUGAUAGCUUUUUAUGCAACCAAACGUCCCACACUCAAGUACUAGCCACAAAUGACAGGAUCCACCCCGAAUUUCACCCUGAAACCCGAAGUAAAUCCUGCGGGGACCACCUCCAAGGAAAGUUUACCGAAAAAUUCGACAUAACCUCCCUUGAAAAUGGACAACCCUUCCUAAUAAAACCUGCAAACACUUCUGAAAAUUUAAAUCCAACCAUAAACUCUUGGAGCCUUCGUGCUCCCCCAAAUCACAACACCACCCAAAAUAAAUACUAACUUUAAACAAAUCUCAUAACCAACCAUUUAUAGGUUCAAAGCAACUCUAAUAGAAAGAAAAGAAACAUAAUAAAUUAACAAGCGAAAGCUAUAUGAUGACUAUGCCUCAUCUCCAUGUACGCCCGACCUCAACUAUGCAAUCCUGUAAACUGGGCAUUUUAAAACGAAGAGCCCAGGGGAAAACAUUUAAUAACGUUAGAGUGAGUGGACAAAAAUAAUUUAAUAAAAUAAAAUAUUUAUGUUUCCCCAAAUCAAUUUCCAAGGAAAAAUCGAAUGCAUGCCGCAAGCGAUAAAAACUUUUAUCUCAUAAAAUAUCGAGCCUCUCAGGCUCUAACAUAUAUGUAUGUAUUUACACACGUCCAUACUCCCUAUAUAAAUUCAUGGGUCUAUAUAGGGCUACUACGCUCGCGUCCAACGCUCACGUCACGCCUUAAUGCGGUGCUACACUACGCCAUUAAGGUGGACAGACGGGUGUAUAAAUAUGUGUCCAUACCCCCUAUAUGAAUUAGACACUCAUAUAGGGUUACUACGCUCGCGUCCAACGCUCACGUCACACCAUAAUGCGGCUAUAUGCUACGUCAUUAAGGUGGACAGACACAUAGGGCUAGCUAGCAUUUAUAUACAUACUCUCUCAUAAAUACAUAUUUAUAUCCAUCGAAAAUCCCAUUUUCGGUAACUCUCCAAGAGAAAUAAAAUCGUCAAAAUAAAAUGACGUCAAAAUGCUCCACAACAUUAAUUGUUCAUCUAUGAACUAUAGCAUGCAUUUUAUUUAAAACAAAAGUCCACUCACAGUAUGAGGCCUAAGCCUUCCAAUGCUCGGAAUACUCCUCGAGCGCUGCCUCCAACUAAUCACACUCUCUAGCCAAUCCCACGUCUGACGAUAAACAGAAGAAUAAAUUGGUCAGACCGGACUCCAAUAAUCAUUAACGAUUCGACUUCUUCCUAGUUUGACUAGGUUUACUGAGUUGACCAGGAUUGACCAAGUUUGACCAAUUGAUUUAUGAUUAGCCAACUAACGAAGCCUCGACAAUUUCCACUUUAACCUUCGACUUAACAAAUCGAGUUACCUUGAUUACUCUACCAUCCAAUUUAAUUCCAACAACCAUCUUAAUAAUUCAAUUACAAUUGAUUCUUCAUCCAAACAAUCCUCAAUCACUCUCUCUCUAUACAACUUCACACCAUAAAUCACUAAGGGCACCCAAAAUGGGUUUCCAUAAAUAGAAAGUUUUCAAAAAGGGAAAGUUUCCCCAAAAUAGGAACUUUCCUCACUUAGAAAGAUUUCCGAUUAUAAACUGACAAACUUUCCUAUUUAUGAAACAACGCAAAAUAAAAAGGAAAACUUCGAUAACUACCUCAACUGCUCUUGUAGGACUAACUGCCUUCGCCGGAUUCCGACGACUUGUAGGAAUAUUCUGCCGGAUUCCGGCCACUUGCCGGAAUUUCGCCAUGACCUCCCUAUAUCCUUCAAUAUACCGAGUUCUCGACAUACAAACACAAAAUAACCAAAAGCAGUCAUUAACCAUCUCCAAACCACAAAGGAACAACAUAGCAGCACCCAAAAAUCGAUACUUACCUCCACUAUGCCCAAAUGAAAAUCCAGUGGCUCCUCCCUGCUAAAACUCAUCAUACAGGUCCUCCAGCUACUUCCAAAUCAAGAACUAGUAUCCCAGAAGCCAUGACAUGGAGCUCACUGGCCUAGGAACCACUGCCUCAAUCGCCACCUCCACCAAAGCAUUUCCACACAGCUUCAGGUCCCCCUCCAGCCUUUGCUCCGCCUCUCUUCGGGUUAGGGUAACAUUAGGAGAGGGAAGGAGACCGCUGAGCCUCUCGGGAACGUAGUCGUCAGAGCUCGAGCUCGAACACAGAAAAGAGAAGAAAAAGGAUUUUCAAAUUAGGGUUCGAUUCGAAUAUCCCAGAACAUAGAAAGGAUAAGGGAAGAGAGGAGAACAAGAUUAUACCCUUCAUAGCGGUUGUCCCUGCCGGAGCUCACCGAAAAUUGUAGAACACAGUCGAGCUUUCCUUCAGUCGAUCACCACCGAAUCGAGAUGAAAGUGUGAUCCAUGGACCGGGUUUUGAAGAGGAGAAGGAGAGGAAAAGAUCGGUGGUAAUUUCUUGAUCAGAGGUGGCCGGAAUUGGCGACGCCGUGCCGGAGAGAAUGGAGGCAGGCGGAGAAGAAAAUAGAGAGAGCUAGCUCGGGUCAACGCCCGAGUGUGGGUUUGACAAGGUCAACCCAUCUGUUUUCCCUUUAUACCCGAACCAACGGUCCAGAUCGAAACCCUAACUGAUCAGAUGGCUAAGAUUAAAAGUUAUAAUCUGAUUUCAGAAAAAAUUAACUAUAACACCAAGCCUUCGAUAAAUCGUAGAAAAUAACUCGAAACUCCAAAAAUAAUUGGAGGACACCGAUGAACUCGUAUCGACGCGCACUAAGACCUCGGGUCCAUAAAAGAAGAACUUGACAUUUUGAGAAAAACUCGACAAUAAAGUCGAGUGUUAAAUUACCAAAUUACCGAGCACGGUUAAAUUCUUCAGUAACUCGUGCAAUACCUAGUAAAUAGGUAAAAUUGGGUCCCGGAUAUUACAACAAAUCACCUGUGACCAAUUAGCUCAAGAUUAGGGUCCUCAACACCUCGUAAAAGUACCUCUUUGAAUUACUAUAGGUACCUCACCACAUCACUUCAACCAACCUUUACAUCAAUAGAAUACACCACUACUUCGAACUUUCUUUCCAACUCUUCUCUCCCAGAAGUCACAUAACUCGAUACCAAGAUUUUCCAUCGGACUACUACAACCUCAUACUUGCCUACCAUAAAUAGGAAACUCCAAGACAUGAAUCGAAUAAAACGUUUCACCUACUACAGAUUUGUACAAGAUGCUCACCCUAGCAUCUUAAUCAUAGCCCAAUUAAGACAAAUGAAAGGGAUGCUGUCAAGCUUAUGAGUUCCCAACUUGAGUUCCCAACUCGCAACUUAACUCUAACAAUUUAUGAUAUCAAAACGAUAACCCUUGAAAAAGAUGUAAUCUAUACACCUUUUCAUUACUCAAAACAGAAUAAUUAUUUAAGAGGUCGGCGUACGGAGGCAUAGUCUUAAAGAUAUAGACAUUUAUGGCACAAUACUGUCCAUAAAUAAGACAAGAACAACUACCUCACAUACCAAAUAAACACAUAGCAUCUGAUGCAUAUAAUGCUAAUGGAUCCGCCGCGGUCGGACCAUCACUCUAUAGACACUAUGUCUCACCAAAUAUAUGAGGUAGUGGUAAGAAUCGGAAAACCUAAGCUAUGAUACCAACUGUCAAGACUCACCCCGAAUUUCACCUUGAAACCUGAAGUAAAUCCUGCGGGGACCACCUGUAAGGAAAAUUUAUCGAAAAUUCGGUAUAACCUCUCUUAAAAAAUGGACAACCCUUCCUUAAAACACUUGCAAACAGUACUAAAAUUCCAAAUCCAACCUUAAACACCUGGAGCCUUCGUGCUCCCCAAAUUCACAACACCACCCAAUUUAUUUAUCAAUCCAAACUAAAUCUCAUGACCAAAAAUUCGUAGGUUCAGAGCAACUGUAAUAGGGAAGAAAGAAAACAAAAUAUACAAAUAAGCAGAAGCAUAUUAUGGACUAUACCUCAACUCCAUGUACGCCCGACCUCAACUACGCAAUCUUGCAAACUGGGCAUUUAAAAUCGAAGGGCCCAGGGGAAAACAUUUGAAAACGUUAGAGUGAGUGGACAAAAAUAAAGUUUAAAAGAAACAAGUCUUUAUGCUUUCCCAUUUCACCAAUAAUACUUCAAAAGAGUAAAAAUGACGAACCAAUCCCAUUGGUUCGAAUAGAACUUCAAAAGAGUAAAAGGGGGUUUCACCAUAAAUAUGAGCCUCCCAGGCUAGGGUCGGAGCCACACAAGCUCUAUUAAUAGCGUCCCACGCUAAAGGCUAUAGCAAUAAUAAUAUACAACAACCCUUAUAUGAUGAAAUAAGAAGAACAUAUAGAGCUCACGAGAUAAAUAUCCCGGCCCACUAGAUAGAGCUCACGAGAAAGGUAUCCCGACCCACUAUAUAGAGCUCACGAGAUAAGUAUCCCGGCCCAUUCAACCAAGUAAUGUAACAAUACUCAUUGACGUGUCUCACAGGUCAAAUAUACUCGGAUUUAUGAUUGAGAAGUACCGAAAAUCCCAUUUUCGAUGAUCUUUUCCAAAUCUCAAUGUUGACAAAUAAAAACGAUAAUUAUAGAGGAGAUAUUUAUAAUUUAAUUAUCGCAUGCAAUUUAUUCAAAAUGAAAGUCCACUCAGAGAUUUAGGCCUAAGCCUGACGUCGAUCCGAGGUCGCUUCAGCUCGAACCUCCUCACCUCUUGAUCAAAGGAUACUAUUAAAUUCUAAUCCCAAUUUAAAUCAUAAAAUUAACAAGUAUGAAUGUGAGCCUAAAUCGCUCUCCUUAGCCCAAUUCCUCGAACUCCAAAAACAGUUCAAGCUGGACCCGUACAAAAUCCUUGACAUAAUAAUUUGAUGGAUUUAAGCUAAUUCCAAAGCUACCCUAAACACCAGUUUCUCAUCUAACAACUAACAAAUUAACCAAUCCCCGAUUAAUUCCAAACCUUAUCAAAUACUCCUCCAAUACUCACAAACUUAACAUUGUUAAACUCCUCCUUUCAAAUACAACCUAUAAACCCAGAAAAACCCUUCAACCUGGCGGCUCUGUCGACAGCGGUGGCGGGCGGCCCUACUCCGACCACCUCCAAUGCUCACCAAAAUUUGACACAACAUUCCUCUCAACACGCACAACAACUUCCCUAACUAGCACAAACACUAAUUCCAAGCCUAGAUAGGGUAAUCGAACCAAAACAUAAAUUUGAGCCCAAGAACUUCAAUUAAUCAUUUCUCCUUACCAAGCACGAAUCGAGCCAAUUCCUUUUGAGGGAUUACUACCCUAGAUGAUAGCUACAAAAUGAGCCAAGAAUCGCUGGCUAUGGCGGCCGGAGGAGGAAGCUCCGACGAGAGGACAGUCGGCUUCUCAGAGGAGAUUUCACCCGAUCGGCGGUGCUAGGAAGGCUUCCACCGGUCCAGGAAGGAAGAUGAGGCGGCGGCGGUUCGAACGGGACCGGUGCGGCAGCCUAGCUUGGCCGGACGGUGUCAGACGGAGGCGGAAAACUUCUAGCAAGGAGAGAGAGAGACUCGAGGAAGGAAGAAGAAGAAGAAGAGAGAGAGAAAAAGAGAGUUUGGGCCUUCUCUCUCAAUUUUCCCAACCCAACUCCAAAAAUACCCAACACCAACAACAAAUCACCUUUUACCUUUUUACUCUCUAAAAUUUACCUUUUACCGUCUUCAACAAUUUCUCCAACGUAAAAAUUUUCCUGAUUUAAUCAACUUACAACAAUAUCUCUAGGGACCUUUGAAACUAUAAAAUCCAUUAACGAAGACGGUAAAACUCUUAUUAACACCAUGCAAGUGAUUAGGGUAAAAAUUAAGAGUCAGGAUGUGACAUCGAAUCUAGAAAACAAAGACACAGAAAAGAAGAGGGAAGAGAGGCGAACAAGAGAAUACUUGACACGAUCAGAGGCGACGCCGAAGUUCAUCGGAAUUCAGCAAAACAGACGUAUCCUUGACUUCGAUCUCCAUGAAUUCGGGGUUGUUUGUGGAAAAUGAUUACUGGGUUUUGAAGAGAAGAGGAAGAGGAACAAAACCCUACCUGUCAGCCGCCUUGUCGCCUGAGCUUGCUGAAAUCCGACGAACACAGCCGAGCUUCCCUUCGAUCGAUCACCACUGAAUCGAGUUGCAAGUGAUGAUCUAUGAACUGGGUUUUGUAGAGAAGAAGUGCCACAUCCUGACCCUUAAUUUUUACCCUAAUUAUUUACGUUGUAUUACCCUGAGUUUUAAUCGCUUUUGUUAGGUGUCCCAUAGUUCAAAGAACCAAAGACAACUUUUAUAUGAUGACUAUUACUGGGUUUGUUCCUUAAAAGAAAGUCAUAAGGACGAUAAAAAUGAAGUAGCUGACAUGAGUUACUUGUGUUUGGAAAGUAGGUAAAAAGAUGGAAAUUAAAAGGGGGUAAUUUUAUUUUGUGGUUAGGUUUACAAUGAGAAACUUCCAUUUUAAGAAGUUUCUGGAUCGGGAAACAAGUUCAAAAGCCCAAAAUUCUCUCUUUUCUCUCCUCUUCCCUUCGAUUUUCUGUCUCUCUCUUUACCAACAAGUCUGCAACCAUCGACCGCCGCCGUCUGGCCAGCUCAGGCCGCCGCCCUAGUCCCGUUCGACUGGCCAUCACCUCUGCUAUCUUUCUGGGUUGGAGAUCGAGUCCAUAGCGCUAUUACUGGGAAGGAAUUCCUCUCGGAAGCUCGCCUGCAACGUGUGGGUUCGGUUGCCGGAACUCGCUCCUCCGGCCAUCAUAGCUGAAGAUCUUUGGCUCAUCUUGAAGGCCUUUCUUGGUGUAACAAUACUCUAGAAGGAAUCAAUCCAAUUCAAUCUAGGUAAGGAGAUUCGAAGGUUUAAAGUUCUAGGGUCCAAUUUGGGAUUUUUACUGUUUUGGUUCGAUUACCCUAUCUAGGCUUGAAAUUGGUGUUUGUGGUAGUUAUAAAAGUUGUUUAGAUUGUUGAGUGGAAGAUUGUGUCAAAUUUUGGUGAGUAUUGGAGGUGGUCGGAGUUAGACUGCCGCCGCCGCUGCCCGCGGAGCAGACGGCUGCGCCGCCAUGUUGAAGGGUUUUUCUGAGUUUUAAAGUUGGUUUUGAAGGGAGAAGUUUAUUAAUGUUAAGGUUGUGAGUUUGGAGGAGUUUUUGAUUAAGUUUGGAAUUAAUCAAAGAUAGGUUAACUUGUUGGUUGUAGGUGAGUAUCCGGUUGUUGGAGGAGCUUUGGAAUUAGCUUAAAUCCAUCAAAAUAUAUUGUCAAGGAUUAAGUACGGGUUCGGCCCAAACCGUUUAAGAAUUUAAGGAAGUGGGCUAGGGAGAGCGAUUUAGGCUCACAUUCAUAUUUGUUAAUUUUAUGAUUUUAAAUUGGGAUUCGAACUUAUUAGUAUCCUUUGAACAAGACGUGAGGAGGCUUGAGUUGAUGAGACCUCGGAAUGACGUCAAGCUUGGGCCUAAAUCAGUGAGUAGACGUUUGUUUUAAAUUAAAUGCAUGCAAUGGUUUUAUAUUUAGUGAUUGAUUUUAUUUUACUAUCUCUUAAUUUGUGGAAUUGAGAUCUUUUCGUGUUUAUUUUAGCGAAGUUAUUUUGGAAGUAAAUAAUCUUAUUUUAUUUGUUAACUCCGCUAUUUGGAAAAUUACCGAAAAUUGGAUUUUCGGUGGAGUCGUAUGCAUAUUGCUUUCUUUUAUAUUUGGCAAUUUUCUUUAAUUUGGAGAGUUAGAUAUAUAUAUAUAUAUAUAUAUGGAUAUUUAUGAGGAUAGCAUGUAUAUAAAUGCUAACUAGCCAUACGUGCUUUUCCGUCAUAAUGGUGUAGCGAUUAGCCACCAUUAUGGUGUGACGUGAGCGAGGGACGCAAGCGUCAUAGCCCUAUAUGAAAAUAAGAAUUCAUAUAGGGGAUAUGCACGUAUAUACACCCGUCUUUUCCACCAUAAUGAUGUAGCGUUUGAAAUUCUAUUAUGGUGUGACGUGAGCGUGGGACGCAAGUGUUGUAGCCUUGUACGAAUUUCUUAUUUUUUUUUUUUAUUUUCAUAAGAAUUCAUACAACGAGUAUGACGUGUAUAAAUACAUACUUAUAUACUAGAGCCUGGGAGGCUCAAUAUCAUAAAGUAUUGGAGACUAGCGGGGCUAGUCAUGUAUUGCAGUAUUUGCCAAUUUCUGAGUUAAGAGAUUAAUUUGGGAAAGCAUAUAAAAACUUUUAUAAAUAUUUGUUUCUUUGAAACUUUAUUUUUGUCCACUCACUCUAACGUUUUUAAAUGCUUCUCCCUUGGGCCCUUCGGUUUUAAUUGCCCAGUUUGCAAGUUAGCUUAGUUGAGGUCGGGCGUACAUGGAGUCGAGGUAUAGUCCAUCAUAGAGCUUCCGCUUAUAUAUAUAUAUAUAUAUUUAUUUUCCCUUCACUGUUAUAAUUGCUCUGAACCUAUGAAUUGUUGGUUAUAAGAUUUUUAUUAGAUCAGUAAUUAUAAAUUAGGAGGUGUUGCGAAUUGUGGGGAGCACGAAGGCUCCAGGAGUAUAAGGUUGGAUUUGGAUUUUUAGAAGUUUUUGCAGGCGUUUUAUAAAGAAGGGUUGUCUAUUUUCAAAGGAGGUUAUGCCGAAUUUUCAGUAAAUUUUCCUUGGAGGUGGUCCUCACAGGAUUUACUUUGGGUUUCAAGGUGAAAUUCAGUAUGGGUCCUGAUUCCUUAUAAAACGCCUACAAACACUUCUAAAAAUCCAAAUCCAAAUCCAACCUUAUUAUUUAAGAGUCGGGAUGUGACACCUGACAAGAAGGAGAGGAAGAUAUUGGUGGUGGUCUCGUCGCCAGGGGUGGCCGGACGGCGCCGCUACGGCGCGAAGACGAAGAAGAAAAAGAGAGUGAGAGGAGAGAAAAAUUAGAGAGAAGUUUUAGGGUUUUGGAUUUAAAAACUAAUCCUUAAGAAAAGUCCAAAACGCCCUUUAGAUAUCGAUACAACAAUAAACUUCUGUAGAUCACAGUUUACUCGUACGAAUUCUGAUUUAAGCUUACCACGUGUCCACGAGUUCAGUAUAACAAGCUAUACAACGUUCCUGAGAGCAAAUUUCUCAAAAAGUAUACGGGUAAAAAGUCAAUCUUUUGGUCUCCUAAAAAGUCUACACGAAGAGAAAAGGUGAAUUAGGCCAUCAAUUACCGUACUAGUGACCAGUAAAUUAGUAAAGUGGGGUACAAGUGUUACAUUUCGUCAUUUUUUUGCUUUUAAUUUAGCCAUGUUUGCCAAACAAGGUUGGCGGUUGCUGUAGUACCCCUCCUCGUUGCCCAGUCAGUUGAUGAAAGCUAUAUAUUGCCCACAUUGCAAUUUUUGGGAGGCUGAGCUGGGAAAGGCCCCCUCGUAUGCAUGGAGGAGUAUUUUGGAGGGGAGGGAUAUAUUGCGGAAUGGAAUUCAAAGGUUGAUCGGUGAUGGAAUGUCAACGGAUGAGUGGGCUGAUCCGUGGUUGAUGGGUGAGAACUUGUCGCCCAUUUUUUUAUGAUACUGUUAGUCGUGUUUUUGAUCUCUUUGUGAGCCCAGGAGUGUGGGAUGUGGCUUUGCUAUUUAAUUUAUUUUCAGCUCAUAUUGUUCACAAGAUUCAAGCAUUACCGGUCAGUAACAGAAGUCAUUUUGAUAAAUGGAUUUGGGCUCCGGAUCGAAAAGGUAUGUUUACAAUAAAGUCAGCUUACCAUAUUGGAAGGCAAGGGUUGUGGAAGAUCAUGUCAUGGCUCCUAAUCCAUCUGCGCAAUUAUGGAAUAAGAUUUGGGACGCUCCAGUUCUGGGUAAGGUAAAGAUAUGUGUGUGGAAAGUAGCUUCUAAUAUUCUCCCAUCAUGAAGUCGACUUAGUCAAAGAGAUAUUGACACCCAAUGCCCAUUUUGUGAGGAAGAGGUAGAAUCUCCCAUCCAUGCACUGAGAGACUGUCUUCAUGCCGAAGCUUUUCUUCAGCUGGCUAAUGUCCCCAUACAGCUAGCUGGCAUAAAUGCCUUUGACUAGUUAGUAUCCUCACCGAAAAACUCUCCUACUACUUUUGCUACUCUCAUGAUGAUUAUUUGGUCGGUUUGGAGGAAUCGAAAUGAUCAAGUUUGGAAUAAUAAUGCAAAGCAGGCUACUGAGGUGGUACCUAUAACUUUGGGUUGGUAGGCAGAGUUUAAAUCUACAAAUGUGAGUAGCAGAAACUGUCACAUCCCGACCCUUAAAUUUUUACCUUAUUUACUAGCUCGGUUAUAAUAAGAAUUUUACCGUCUCCGUCAUUGAGGUUAUGGUUUAAUUGGUCCCUAGAGGGGUUUUGAGGGACGAUUAUUUCGGAGAGUUAUUCGUAGGAGAAAUUUAUGACAACGGUAAAAAUGGUAAAUUUUAGCUAGUAAAAGGUAAUUUUAUUAGGGUAUUUUGUUUUGGGGUGUUAAAUUGGUGGAGUUGGGCAAUAAUUAUGGUGUUGGACUGGGUGUGAAGGCCCAAAUCUUUUCUCUCCUUCUCUCUCUUUUCUUCUCCUGUUCCUCUCGAGCCCUCUCCCGAGUUCUCUCUCCCCGGCGAACUUCCGGGCGUCCGCCUGCCGCCGUCCGGCCAACGUUCGCCGCCGCUCCGGUCCCAAACGGUUGGCCUCCGACCCAGCUACCUCCCUGGACCGGUGACAGCCUCCCUAGCGCCGCCGUGAGAGAGAAACGACACCUUGAACCUCCGGCUGUCCAAAGCUCUCCUUCGCCGGAACUUCCUCCUCCGGCCACCAAUCCGGGCAAGCCUUAUAUGGUUUUGAAAGUCUCCAACCCAGUUGCCUGGCCCUAGAAGGACUCGGUCCAGUUUGCUCCAGGUAAGGAGAACCGGUGAGUGGAAGCUCUAGGGCUUUUUGUGUUGUUUUGCUCGAUUGCCCUAGUUAGGCUUGGAAUUGAUGUUUGUGCUAGUUAGGAAAGUUGUAGAGGGGGUUGAGAGAAAGAUGCUGUUAAAUUUUGGUGAGCAUUGGAGGUCGCCGGAAUCGGCCUCCGGCCGCUGCCGCUGUUUGGGAGUUUUGUAUAGUUUUAAGUGUGGAAUAUUAAGGGGAGUUUAUUGAUGUGAAUUAUGGAAUUUUCAGAUGAGUUUUGGAUAGGUUUGUGAAUUUCCGAAGUGUGGUAUUUUUGGCGGUUGAAUAAUGUAGAAUCCGACCGUAGGAUUUAAGUCAUUUUCUGGGGGAAGUUGUAAUUAGGGCUGCCGGUAUGUUUGGUGAAGUUUGAGCCAUUUUGAGUUAAGAAAAUGGCGAAGUUGGGCAAUGAUGAGUGUGUGGGAGGCUCACGUUUAAUUUUGCCCAUUUUGUUUAAAUAUUGGAUUUUUAGUUGGGAAAUUAAUUGUAUAUUUGGUUCAGGACGAGAGGAGGCCCGAGCAGAAGAAGCCUCGGAGCGUCAUCAGCCUUAGGCCUAAUUUGUGAGUGGACCUUUGUUUUAAUUGAAAAGCAUGUGAUGAAUUAUUUUGUUGAUCAUUUAUUUCUUCUGAUGAGACUUAUUGAUUUCUCGGCUAUUUGACAAUUUUUCCUCCUUUGGAGAGAUCCCGAAAAUGAGAUUUUCGGUGGAUAUGUUUAUUGGAUGUUAUGAGUAUAGUAUGGGUUUAAAAUGCCCAGUCUGCAGAGUACGGGUUGGAUCUAGUAGGAGGCGAGGCAUAGUCACUCGCAUUUCCACCACUUUUCAUCCAUAGGUUACCUGUUUAACCUACCUGUGUUUUCUCACUUCUGCUAGUGUCUAGUAGCUCUAAAUACUUGGGUUUAAUGUUUAUUAUUUCGGUUGUGGGCGAAGGUUUGUUGACAUUUUUAGAAUAUUAUUUUCAGAGGUUGUAUGUUAUUUUAUUUGGAUAAUAUUGUGAUGAGCUGGAAGUUGAUUUUAUUUUUAUUCUUAGUGGUGGUUGUAUUUGGGGAGCACGUAGGCUCUAGGAGUUAAGGUUGGAUUGAAAAUGUUAGGAGUGUUUGCAAGUUUUCUUUAGGAAGGGUUGUCCAUUUCGGUAAUAUCUUCCUUAGAGGUGGUCCCCGCAGGAUUUACUCUGGGUUUUAGGGUAAAAUUCGGGGUGGGUCUUGUCAGAAACAGUAAUGUAUCACCCCGGGACAAAUGGAUCACCCCUUCUCCGGGGUACAUCAAAUUGAAUGUGGAUGCAGCCUAUAAUAAUGCAUCUGGUAUGGCUGGUUUGGGAGGGGUUUUUCGAGAUCAUACUGGUAGUUGUUUGGGAGUCAUUAUGCAAGGGGCAAUAUCAGCACACUCUGCACGUCAUGGUGAAAUAAUGGCAUUGUUAGCAGGAGUGUAGGUAGCUAUCCAGCAUAAUCUCCAUCCUCUUACCAUUGAGUUAGAUAGCCUGGUUUUGGUUUCGGCCCUUACCAAUGGUUCCCUAAAUGACUCUGAACUUGGUUUUCUGAUUGAAGGCUUGCGGGAAAGCCUGUCUUCUAUUACAGCUUGUGAGAAGAUCAGCAAAUAGAGUUGCUCAUGUUCUAGCUAAGGAAGCUAUUAGUGGUCCUAUUAAUUUAGUUUUACUACUGAUCCUUCUUAUGCUGUGAGAAGGGUGCUUUCUUCUGAUUGUAAUGAUCUUUGAUCAAUGAAUUCGCUUAAUUCUCUCAAAAAAUAAAAAUAAAUAAAUAACAAUUCAUAACGCAAUGAAAUAUACAUAUAUAUAAUAUUAUAUAUAUGUAUAUGUAGAAAGUGAUUUUCCUUAAUCAACAAUGUUACAAUCUGUACAUACAUAUAUAGGAGCUAUCCUUGUCUCUCUAGGUUAUGGAAUACAGUAAAUACAAUUGAUUAUAAAUAUCAAUAGCAAUGAACACAGAUGAUUCUAUUAAGGGAUUAGGAUGGAGAGAGUUUAGGAGAAUCAUGUCGGAGAAGAUGAGUGUUAGGCUUGAUUGUAGGGAACAGAGCCCCCCCCCCCCACCCCCCAAACUUGGGGGCCCUUGACAAACAAGUUUGCUUGAUAGAUGUAGAUGGCGAUUCUUAUGUAGUGGCUUGGUGAGAAGAUCAACGGGUUGAUCAACAGAACGAAAGCAUACCCGAUGACUUCCAAGAGCUACCUUCUCCCUUACAAAAUGAUAAUCAAGUUCAAUGUGCUUCAUGUGUGCAUGAAACACAGGGUUAGAGGCCAUGUAGGUGGUGCUUAGAUUGUCACAGUACGGAAGGACUAGAAACUGAAUUUUAGCUCCAAAUUCAUAUAAAAGAUAGCCUAACCAUUUGGUUUCUGCACUGGCAUGUGCAAGAGAGCGGAUUUUGAAUCCUACAAAGGACCUCCUUAAACUCUUAAAGUAAGGAUGUUUUUAGUUCUAGCAUGUAUUUUGACAAUCAAAGCCACCCAUUCCCUAGUUACUUACCCACAUAUGAAUCAUACAAAAAAUUAGCCAAAAUGAAAAACGUUUCACCAUUUGAUUAACACAAUGUUUGUUUUAAUUUUAUCUAACGACCUACAAUUGUUUACAUCAAUUUGAAUGACCAAAUGAUUAUGGAAUUAGUUGAAAUUUUGUAGACAUGUUUCUUGCAUAUGAAUAUAGAGGAUCAACGGUUAAGAUCGUUAAAUGAAGUCAUCUACUAAUGUAAAAUAGUAGGAAUCCUCAAAUUCUUAAAAUAAGGAGGUCCUCUUUAGAUCCUCCAUGUAUAUACAGUCUUUCUCAGGUAAGGAUGUUAUUUAUUUUUACAGUGCAGAUUUCCACUUUAGACUCACUUUUCGAUCGAAUUUUCACAUCUUCACCGCUAGUUUUUAGAUACUAAUGUAUAGAUCAUCUCUACAAAAUUUCAGCCAAUUUGGUUAUCAUCAAGGCACUCAAANNNNNNNNNNNNNNNNNNNNAUUUUGUAGAGAUGAUCUAUACAUUAGUAUAUAAAGACUAAACGGUGAAGAUGUGAAAACUCGAUUGAAAAGUGAGUCUAAAGUGGAAAUCCGUACCGUAAGAAUAAAUAAGGACCUCCUUAGCCAAGAAAGCCUGAUAUAUAUAUAUAGUUCCCUUCCAGAAUGAGAUACCGCUUUCAAAUUAAAGUGUGUUGCUCCUCAUUUCGCUCAAUUUUAGAUCACAUUUUCACAUCUCCACUCUUCAGUGUGUAGAACAUAGUGUGUAGGUCAUUCCUACAAAGUUUCGUCUAAUUUGGAGAUUAUUUGGGUACCGAAUUAGAUUAAAUAAAUCACUUGAACUAAAUUUGUCCAAACGGAACCGUUUGUAUAAAUCACAAAUGCAGAAGCUCAAACAAUGAAACUUUACAAGAAUGAUCUACACACUAUGUUCUACACACUGAACGGUGGAGAUGUGAAAAUGUGACCUAAAAAUGAGAGAAUUGAGUAGCACCACACUUUAAUUUCAAAGCGGUGUCCCGCUUUGGAUGGGAACUGUAUAUAUAUAUAUAUAGGCCCAAUCGUCCACACAACCCUUAAAGUACGGACGUCCCUCUGUUCUCCAUCGUCCGGCACCGACAACGCCUUUUCUUCUUGCCAGAGGACAGCAGAGACAUCUGGGACAGCAUAACCAUGAAGAAGAAGGUCAGAGAGAUCGGGAUCGGAGCUCUGGGCAGCAACCUCAAUGAAAACUUCAAGACCGAUCAAGCUCGGCUAGAAACUUACAGCCGGUGAGUCCACUAGUAAAAGGAAACUCAGUAUCAAGGUCUGUUGUCCUCCAGCAAGAAGAAAAGGCGUCAUCGGCCCCGGAUAGUGGAGAACAGAGAGACGUCUGCACUUUAAGGACUGUGCGGACGUCCUCUUCUAAACGGCUCCGUAUACACACACACACACACACACACACAUAUAUAUAAGGUCCUUCCAUUAAGGGAUCCCUUAUUGUGACUUAUACGAGGGAUUGGGCAUUUGACAAACUUUUCGACCACAUUUUUCAAUUUUAAGCGUUCUAUUUUUAGGUCCUAAUAUGUAGAUUAAUUUUGUAAAAUUUCAUCCCAAUGGUGAUCCUUAAGGUGCUCAAAACUACGAUUUGCAUGAACAGUUCAGGUUUGACAGAUUUGAUCGGUCCAAUGAUUUUAAGCUAGUUCGAGACCUUAACGACCACCAAUAAGGCUGAAAAUUUCCAUAAAUGAUCUACUCAUAUAUACCUGUAAUAUGAAAGGUGGAGAUGAAAAAAUGUGAUCGAAAAAUUGGUGUAAAUUCCCGUCCCCUUAUAUAAGUGUAUAAUAAGGGAUCCCUUAAUGGAAGGGCUCUGUGUGUGUGUGUGUAUAUAUAUAUAUAUAUAUCAUUUCAUUCUCAAUUCAUUGCUUAGAACGGUUAACAUACGAAUCUUUUGAAAUGAAUCGGUAAAGACAAAAACAGAAACUAAUGUAGAAAUAAAAUUAGAAAUAAAUCAGGUUAUGAUUUUUUAGGAAACAUUAUUAUUGAAUUUUAUUGCUAUACAAAAUUUCUCUAUUAGAGAGAUAUUCAUAAAGAAAAAUUGACUUUCUAAUUGAUCACUAUGCCAAUAACAUCAUCAGAUGACACAAGAGGCACAACAUAUAAAACAGUAUUUAAAACAAGUGUCGUUUGAUGGUUUUUGUGGUUUUUUAGAUGACAUAUAAAAUGUAAAAGUCGUCUCAAUAACAUCUUAUUUCAAUACUUUUAAAGGCUAGUUCAUUUUUUCUAGGUUUGUAAAAAUCAUACGAUAUAUAGGUGUGGUGUCAACAAAUCCAGAAAUUCUCACUUUUAGCUGAAAAUUGAGACCACAUAUAUAUGUUGUGUGAGGAAGGCUGUCCAGAUCUAGUUUUCAGCUCUUUUAAUGUACUUUUGGAGACGACAAAUAUAUGUCGUCUGAAAAUUGAGCUAAAAAUUGAGCUGAAAUGAGGUUUUUAGCUGAAAAUUGAGACCUCAUAUAUAUGUUUUGUAAGGAAGGCUGUCCAAAUCUGGUUUUUAGCUCUUUUAAUGUACUUAUGGAGACGACAAAUAUAUGUCGUUUGAAAAAAAUUGAAAUUUUCAAUUCGAACUUCCCUGUGCGAGUUUUAAUGUGCUCAACUUUGAGACGACAUAUUUAUGUCGUCUAAAAAGAACCUUAAGUUUUCAAUUGCUUGCGAAUAUGUCGUCUAAAAAGAACCUUAAAUUUUCAAUUGCGCGUGAAAGCAGUUUUCUCACCCUUAACGAAUUUGAAAUUUUCCCGCUCAUAACGAAUUAUGGUGCCACUUCUUUGUGUGACUCAGACGACAUAAAUAUGUGGUAGUAAGAGGUCCGAAAUUGGUCAACAAACGAUAUGCCUAUUAUCCAUACGGAAACGCUCUUAUCUCCUCCGGCCGAACUUAUUUUUUUUAUUCGUGAAUGCUAGAAAUCUCAUUGAGUACCCGCGAAACUAAUCCAUGAGAAAAUUUAGACACGUUUAUAAACCUGUUAUAUAGGUCCCCAUAGAAAAGUUAAACGUAAAUAAAGUUGACUCAUACAAUCAAAACUCAAACAUUAUCGAAAAUUGGUAAGUUUUCUACCGUAUCCAUAUUUUACUUAUGUGAUCACAUCGUACGGUCAAAUUUUGCAAAUUAGAUUUCGUUCAUACAGUUGGCUUAUAAAGAUACAUGUUUAGGCAUAAUGUAGUAAACAUCUUAUAACACAUUAGUAGACACGUUAUGAUUGAAAUGACUAAAACUAAAAAAAUUCAAGUUUGAGUAUUGGAUAUUAUCAUGAUAGCGAAACCUAGCCAUGGUACAAAAUUUAGACAUUUUCGAUAAUGUUCGGGUUCGGUCAAUGCAGUCAACGUUAGAUUGAUCAUUUUUUCAAUAAACUCAGACUAUAUAUACAUGUUGUCUGAUUAAUACUUGAAAAAGUCAACACAAUUAUCAAAAUGGAAACGCUCUUAUCUACUCUGCCCAAAACUUAUAUUUUUGAUUCGUCAAAACUCAAACUCUCAUUUAGUAUUGGUGAAACUAAUCCAUGUGAAAAUUCAGACACUUUUACAAAUCGAUAGUAUAGUUCCCCGUAGAGAAGCAUAAAGAUGUAUAUGUGUAAAUAAAGUUGACCCAUCCGAUCGAGACCCAAACGUUAUCGAAAAUGGGUAAACUUUCUAUCGUAUCCAUAUUUAACUAUUUUGAUCACAUUGUACGGUCAAAAUUUGCAAAUUAGAUUUCGUUCAUACAGUUGUCUUAUAAAGAUACACGUUUAGGUAUAAUCUAAUAAACGUUUUAUAGCAUAUUAGUAGCCUCGUUAUGAUGGAGAUGAAUAAAACUUAAAAAAUUAAAGUUUGAGUAUUAGAUAUUAUCAUGAUAGCAAAACCUAGCCAUGGUACAACAUUCAGACAUUUUUGAUAAUGUUCGGGUCUCGGUCGACACGGUCAACGUUAAAUUGAUUAUUCUUUAAUAAACUCAGACUACAUAUAUAUGUUGUAUGAUAAACACUUAAAAAAGACAAAACAAUUGACCUGAAAAAUAAUAGAAAAGCUCAAUUAAAAAAAAGAAAAAAGGAUAGAAAGUGAGGUUUAAGGGUCAGGAGUUAGGGUAUAGCAUGGGUGUUGGCAAUCUAUUUCUGAGUUUUCCCAUUCUUUCUUUUCUCAUCUGAACCAUUGAUUCACCUUUUAAAAGGGAAGAAACCCUAGCCUCUCCCAUUUCAGUUCGAGAGGUAAAGAGAAACUAAGAUGAGAGCAGCUGCCGCACUGUCGUUGAGCCCUUUCUCCGCUGCCCUUAUCCCGCUGCCGGCCGAAAGGACACCGUCAAUCAACUCCCUUAUCUCUACUCUUCCUCCUCCUACCCACCUGUUCACCAUAUUUGGAGGAGGACAAAAAGUUGCCCUAAACCCCCUUUUCUGGUUGAUUCUCCUCUUCUCCUCACGGUAAACAUCCAUCUCUAUUCAUCUUACCCAGCCCAUCUUAUCAGAUUCUUGUGGUCAUGAUAUAGUCAUCAGAAACUACCUUCCAGAGAGUUGUAACUAGUGUGCCUGUCUCUUCUGCAGUUGGCUAUUACUAUUUCUUCUCCAAGCAGGUCCGCAGAGGUAUAGUUUAUGGCGAUCAACCAAGAAAUAGGUAGGAUGACUUUAGUGUACAUUUUUGUGUUUAGAGCAAUAAAUAUUUUACAACUCAACAUUUUCUGUAGUAAUAGCUGAAAUUUUGUUCUACAGGCUAGAUCUGUAUCUACCCAAAAAUUCUGAUGGGCCAAAACCAGUCAUUGCAUUUGUAACUGGUGGAGCCUGGAUUAUUGGGUGAGUGAUUGAUUCUUGUAUGUUUAUUUCUGAAUGGUUCCUUGAUGGUGUAGCAUGCAUAUCUGUUCGUUUUCGGAGUGUAAAGCUCAGUAGAGCUGAGAUGUAGAUUAAUCAGAUCACUAUUCUAGGAACAUGAGUCCAAUGCUUGAGUUGUAGCUCCAAUGUGAUGGUUUUGCUUCUCUUUUUCCCCCUUUUUUGUUUCACUUGAUAUAGGAUCACGUCCUUGUUAAUUCUCGGCAAUGAUUUUCCUAUCAUCCUAUAUCGAAGUUGAACUAUUGCGUACUUGUACAUUUGUUUGCUACUGAAACACAAUAAGCUAACUUAGAUAAUUAGCCCUUGGUUGCCCUAUAUUCUAAUCACCUUUUUUAUUCCCAACAUAUGGUAUCUUUCUUUGUAAAGAAAAAGCCACUGAUCAAUCAUAAUAUCACUUCAGAUUUUCUCUUUUACGAGAAUGUUGUUUCUUGAAACUGAUAUCCUUUUAACAUACACGUACUGUAAUAGUAGUUAGUCUUUUGGGAGUAUUACUGCAUUGGUGUAAAUGUAUGCUCUAUAGUGAAAUGCUUGUCAGGAUGGAAAUAAUAAAAUGAUGGACUGAACUCAUUUAAAACUGAUGCUGGGAUGGUCAAAGCACACAACUUUUCUUUGUUCUAUACUUUUCCUUUUCAAGCAUAGAAGAUAACUAUUAAAUCCUUUAUUUGGAUUUGUUAAUAUAGUAAUCUGCUAAUUUUAUAGAUCGAAAGAGCUACAUGCUCCCUCUAUAACUCUGCUUAAGAGAUCUAGGUUUCUCGUCUGUCCUUAUCUUUAAGAUAUCUCGUUAUGCAAUUAAAGAUGGGCUUUGCUUGCAAUUAAUCUUGAUUUCGUAUAUCAGAGAUAGUUUGAGUGCAGACAAAUGCAUUCUUGGUUCGUUUUUUUCCUGCUCCCCAUUAAUUAUGUAAGAGCUAUUUCUUUGUUACAAGUGAUAAUAUCUCUUUCAACUUGUUGUCAAUUUGGGUGUUUAAUUAGUAGUGGGAGUUUGCAAUGCGGACGCAAAGUACUUAAGUGGGAGGGUAUAUAAUUUUUUCCAUUGAAUCCAAGUUCUCAAUGUUGUUUGACCCGUCAAUGUUCUUAGUGUCUUAGUUUUACUAUGAAAGAGAUAAGGUACUUGCUUCUGGUAUUGUUAUUUACUAGCUAAUAAAAUGAUGUGGUAUUCAUUUUAUUAGUUAGUUGCUUCUGGUAUUGCUAUUUCUGAGUUACGGAGCUUUUGCUUUGUUAGUUGGUUGGAGUGUUUGUGGUAUUCAUUUUCAGUAUUGGGUUUUGGUUUGUCAAUUGAAAAUUGAGGACUUUGAACUGAUUACAGGUCAGUCGGCUAAUGGAUUUGAUGGUGUACAGACUCUAGCCACAAGGAGGUGAUCCUUUGAGUGUCACAUCCCAACCCGUAAAUUUUUUACCUUAUUUACUAGCUUGGUCUCAAUAAGAAUUUUACCGUCUCCGUUAAUGAAUUUAUAGUUUUUGGUGCCUAGAGGGGUUUUGAGGGACGAUUUUAGAGGAAUUAUUCGUAAGAGAAAAUGUGAUAACGGUAAAAAUGGUUAAAUUUUGGUUAGUAAAAGGUAAUCUUUAUUAAGGUAUUUUUUUUUAUUGGGGUGUUUUAUGUUAUGAAGUGUGGGUAUUAAGGAGCAGAUCGGGUCACAUUUUAGUGGAAAAAGCCCACUCUCUCUCUCUUCUCUCCCUCUUCCCCCGAGCCCUCUCCCCGUUGGACUUCUAGCCACCCGUCCGCCGCCGUCCUGCCACCUGAGACCGAUGCUCUGGUCCUGAUCGGUUGACCUUCGACCCAGCUCCCAUCCUAGACUGGUGAGAGCUCUCCUAGCGUCGUUGUGAGGGAGAGUUGCCGUCCGAAGGUCCCGACUGCCCAAAGCUCUCUGUCGUCGGAACUUCCUCCUUCCGCCACCAAUCCGGGCAAGCCUUACAUGGUUUGGAAGGCCUUCAACCUAGUUGCCUUGCCCUAGGAGGACUCGGUCCAGUUUGCUUCAGGUGAGGAGAACCGAUGAGUGGAAGUUCUAGGGCUUUUUGUGAUGGUUUUGUUCGAUUGACCUAGUUAGGGUUGGAUUUGGUGUUUGUGUUAGUUAGGAAAGUUGUAGAGGGGGUUGAGAGGAUACUGUUGUUAAAAUUCACAUCAAUAACUCCCCUUAAUUCACAUCAAUCCGGCCGCCGCUGUUUAGGGGAUUUUCAUGGUUUUAUAUUGGUUAUAUUAAGGGGAGUUAUUGAUGUGAAUUUUAAAAUUUUUGGAGGAGUUUUGGAUAGAUUUGGGAAUUUUUAAAGUUUGGUAAUUAGCGGAUUAAUAAGGUAGAAUCCGGCCGUUGGAUUAAAGUCGUAUAAUAUGUGGAAGGGUGUAAUUAAGGCUGCUGUUUUUAGUGUUGAGGUGUGGACCAUUUCGAAGUUAGGCAAUAAUGAGCGUGAGUAUGGCUCGCGGUUAAUUUUUGUAUAUUUUGUAUAAAUAUUGGAUUUUUAGUUGGGAAAUUAAUUAUAUAUUUGGAACAGGACGAGAGGACGCCCGAGCAAAAGAAGCCUCAGAGCGACAUCAGGCUUAGGCCUAAUUUGUGAGUGGACUUUGUUUUAAUAUAAGAGCAUGCGAUGCAUCAUGUUGUUGAUCAGUUAUUUUUCUUCGGAGAUUCUUUAAUUGCUUUCUCUUAUAUUUGACAAUUUUCCUCUUUUGGAGAGUUCUCGAAAAUGAGAUUUUCGGAGGAUAUGUAUAAUGGAUAUUUAUGAGUAUAAUAUGUAUAUAAAUGCUAACUAGCCAUAUGUACUUGGUCCGUCAUAAUGAGGUAAAAUUCCAUUAUGGCGUGACGUGAGUGUUAGAUACAAGCAUCAUAGCCCUAUAUGAAAACUACUUUUUAUUUGGUUCAUAUAGGUUUUCAUAUAGGGAGUCCACACGUAUGUACACCCGUCCUCUUCGGUCAUAAUGAAGAAAAAUUUCAUUAUGGCGCGACGUGAGCGUUAGAUGCAAGCGUCGUAGCCUUGUAUGAAAUUCUAUUUUUCUACUUUGUUCAUAGAAUUCGUACAAGGAGUCUGAUGAGUGUAAAUACAUACAUAUUUUUUAUAUAAAUUAGCCUGAGAGGCUCCAUUUUUAUUCAAGUUUUGGAGACUAGCCGGAGCUAGUUAUGAAAUUGCCCGUGUGUGAGUUGAGUGUUUUUGAGCUGUCGCAUGUAGCAUAUCUUCUUUGGAAAUUAAAAUGGGAAUGCAUAAAUAUUUUAUUUAUUAAUUUAUUUUUGUCCACUCACUAACAUUUUCAAAUGUUUUCUCAUGGGUCCUUCGUUUUAAAAAUGUCCAGUCUGCAGAGUUCGGGUUGGCACUAAUCAGAGGUGAGGCAUAGUUACCCACAUCUCUUCCACCUUUCAUCAGUAGAUUACCUGUUAAUCUACUACCAUAUUUUCUUGCUUCCGCUAGUGUUUUGUAGCUCUGAUUACCUUGAGAUCAUUGUAUAAUAGUUCGGUAAUGUGCUAAGUUUUAGAUUUAAAUUUGGAAUAUUUGAGGGUUGAAGUUUGUUAUCUUAAUUGGAUAAUAAUGAGUUGGAUUAGAAGAUGAUAUUAUUUAUGUGUGUGGUGGUUGUGUUGUGGGGGAGUGGGUAGCUCCAGGUUUUGAAGUUGGAUGUGUUGUUAUAGGAGUUAUCUGAAUUUUUCAAGGUAGGGUUGUCAAUUUUCAAGGGAGGUUAUGUCGAAUUUUUCAGUAAAUUUUUCUUGGAGGUGGACCCCGUAAGACUUAUUUUGGGUUUCAGGGUGAAAUUCGGAGUGGGUCUUGACAUUAAAAGCUUGUUAGGUAAGCUGCAUAUGUAUAGGCCUUGAUAAUUUUCAGAGAAUAUUUAGAAUUAUGUCCAUUGGUCUAUGUUUAUGUGCAAACUUUGUUUUGUUAUCAUGUUUAGUAAUGCAAGUGAUGCUUUGGACAAAUAUCAUUUAAUUAUAUCUAAUGCCUCUUUGGUCUUCUUGUGGAAAAUUGUAGUAUGUGCAUCUGAAGUUUUACAAUUGUAGAAACCAAUAGUUAUGUGUUCAUCAUUGCAGCUACCUACCCAAGUAAUUAAUGGAAAUUCUGAUAAGGCUGAACCAAAUAACACAAUAGUAAGUAAUUUUUUAUUUUGCUUACAUUGAACAAUUCUUUGGGAUGAUACUAACUCAUGAGUUUUGUGAGUACAUAUAUUUGGUAGCUAGUUCAUGUCAAGAUACCAGUAGGCAAGCAAUGUGGUUUUGUUCAAUUUGCUAGCAGGUAACAACUCUACUUCCCGUUGUUGUAGAAUUCAGUUUCAUUAGUCCUCUCUUUUUCUCUCUUUUUCCCGUUUUCUUUAUUAAAUACAUGUUGCUGGAACAUGCUUAUAUUUACAUGUGACAUAUUUCAGAUCUUGUGCAGAGUAAGCAUUGUCGAUGAUCAAUGGAAUGGGGGAGUAGUGGGAUCAUGAGUGUAGUCAUAUGUACAUUAGGAUCAAUAUGUAUUGUUAUUGUACACGUAUUUUUACGCUUCAAAUAAUUUUGUAAUUGAAGUAGGUUCUUAACAUUAAAUAAAGUGCUACUUUCUUUUAUUUUAUUCUUAGUUUUUGUUACAUAUGAAGUUCAAUUCACAAUCACACAACAUAAGAACAAGCAACAAGAAAAGAAACAAGAAGGUGAAGUCCAAUGGACAAUCAGACAACAUAAAUUUUUAUAAACAAGCAGCAAAAAUAUGAAGUCUAAUAGAUAAUUAAACAACAUGAGUCAUCAUAUCCUAUAACAUAAAAUUGCAGCUAAACGAACUAUCAGACGACAUAUAUUUGUCAUUGGUUUUAUAUUGAGACGACAUAAAGUCUAAUAACUUUUCAAAUUUGACAACAUCAGACGACAUUAAAUUGUCAUUAGAAACCUCAUCUAACCACAUCAGAUAAAUGUAUUUGUCAUUGUAGAUUAUGUAGCUCGACGAUUAUAUGCAAUAUAAGGUAAUAUCACACUACAUCUAUUUCAAUAAAUCUUUCAAUUUUUCUUCUUUCACUCGACAUAUAAAUGUUGUUAGUCUUUCAUACAGAAGAAAUAAAGUUAGGAAACCUUCAGACAUGUCAAAUAUCAGUCGACAUAUGUUCUGUCGUCUGAUCAACACUCAGACGACAGUGGAGAACUGUCGUCUGAUCAUCAAUCAGACGGCAGGGCCUCAGAUGACAUAUAAAUUUUUGUUAGACGACAGUGCUCAACUGUCGUCUGAUGAUGUUUUUGGCAUAGUGUGAAUAUAUCAUAUAAGGAUAAUUUUAAAAAAGAAAUGGGUGAGGUAAGUAAAUUUGGUAUUAAAAAUUAAGAUGUAGGAUGAAAUGAGUAAGUAGGGUGAAUAAGAUGAUGGUUGUUUCGGCGUGAUUUCUAAGAGGGUGAAUCACACAGAAUACAGGAAGAACACCAUCUUCAAGACCCAUAACCUGUUAAUCAUGAGCAAAUGUCGUCAGGGGGAAGACCGGGUUUGCCGGCCUUCGACCCUCCGAUGCCUAAGUCAGCCACAUAAGAGUAGAAAUAAGGUAUGAAUAGGGUGGAGAUGGAGACUUACCCAAAUGAGGGGUGAAAACAUGUAUUUAUAGAGAUAUGGUGAUUGCACCCUAAAAGUACCAUUUUGCUCUUACUGGAGAGUGUAUUACUAUUGUGCCCUGUUGUGCCCUCAAGGGAGAGUGUAGGUUUCUUGGGCCUAGUUAAGGCCCAAGCCCAUUUUAUGUGGUAAUAUGUGUUUCUUAGGUGAGUAGGACCGAUGUUCUAUCUCUCACAUAUGAUGUAUUAACAAGUCCCCAAGUCCGCGGUCAAGAGACUCUCUUGGGUGGGGACUUUAUCUGAUAGAGUAUCGGGAGUACGAGCCUUACUAGUGGCGACAUAACCAGUCCCCAGUCCCCCAAGUCCCCAUGCAAGGGAGGGGAUGGACCGGCUCCCUCUAAGUGGGGUGUCCCGUGCUGCUAUAGUUUUGUCACGUUAUAGGAAAUUGUGAUGUCAUGAUAUCUUGCCUAGAGAUACACAUGAAUGUGAGACACCGGGACAGUUGCACCCGUGUAGUGUCAAGAGGUUGUUGGGCGAUAGGGGGUCGAAGUUUAGGUACCGCUCGGUGCCAGGUGUGGGAACUCUGGUGAGCAUCGCGCAUAGGUAGCGGGUACCGGCAUGUUUGUAUGCCUUAGGCCUUAGGCUUUCAGUAGCCUUUGAUUUGUAUCAGCUAUAUGCUCUAGCCAGCUGAGCUAUUCUAGCCUGUGUUGCAAGGGGAGAUUGUGGUGACAUAUUUUGUUGUUGCCUCUAGGUGAGUGUUAGAGUGCCUACGAACUUGUUUAUGGGAUCAGACCAAACGUAGUUCACCAUUUCGCCAUUGAGGCAAGUGUGCCAUCGAGGUGUGGUGAGGAGUGCCGCUGGGGCAUGGCGAUGGUGCCGCUGGGCAUGGCCAGGGUGCCGUUGAGGCAAGGAGGAAGUGCCGCUGAGGCAUGGCGAGAGGUGCCACUAGGGCAUAGUGAUGGUGCCAAUAGGGCAUGUAAAGAGCUGUCGAGGAAGGGGUGACUAUCGCUAUGGCAUAGUGAAAGCACGCUAGGAAGCAUGGCAAAGAUGCCGAGAGCACGCUAGGAAGCAUAACCAAGAUGUCAAUAGGGCAAGGCGGGUGUUGCCAAAGUGUACCGAGAGCAAGCCACAAGGCGUGGGAAAUGUCGGCAUAUAAGGUUGUUGCGCAAGUCCCCUAGUGCCGGGAGAGAUUAUGGUGGUUGGGAACCGAAGCAAGGACUGAUUUGGCAUGGGAGAUUUCCUAUGGUGUGCUGACUUGAAUGUAAUUCACGCAAGCGAACGUAUCGUUGUCAAGAUAGGGAAGUAUUUGUGCCCAAGUUAUCGUACCACGGGGAUUAGUGGCUAACCCACAAUCCUAAGCUAAUCGGAACAAAAGUCACUAAGCAAACAAAGAAAAAGAAGAAAAAUGCUACUCUAAAGCACCAAGCCUUAGCAAUUCUCGGCCUUAGUUAUCACCAAAGCCUAAUCAAUAUUAAAUGCCUAGUGAUGGGUAAUUACAAUGAGUCGAUAUAUAAAAUGGAGAUUGAAUGGGGAAUUAACUAAAUUGACGAAAACCUAAAUGAAAAAUAAACUACUAACUAAUAAACUAGAGAAUGAUGAGAACAUGGGAGUGUCGGGUGAUCCACACUAACUCAUAUGCAAACAUCGAUACCAAUUUCACAAAUGCAUAUCCUAUUGUAUCAAGUCCCGUAUCUAAUACCGGUUAAGGCUACUAGACCAAUUAUCCUUUCGGUGUAUCGAUUAUGCCGGUUAAGGCCACAAUCAACUCUCUAACAUGGGCAUUACGCAGGUUAAGGCCGUAACAUCCAAAUUAGAGGCCUAGAGUGCAAGAUAAUAGAGACCCAAGCAAGCUUUGCUACAAUCAAGCUAGCUAAUGGUUACCACACUUCAAAUCCUAGAUGCACAAGACUAGUAAGUUGUCAAUUUAUCAAUCUAUCUAUCAAAUUGUCCACAACAUAAUCUCAAAGGGUGACAAAACCUAGAAACAUGUUUAUAAGGACCAACACAUUCGGAUUCAAAGCAUACACAAUGUAAAUUGCAUUUAUAUCAAUCAAAGUACCAACAUUAUACAAAAUGAGUUUAGGGCUUCAAUACCCUAACUCCCAAAAUUAAAUCACUCACAACCCAUAGUCAAAUACAUCAUCAAUAGCAUAUAAGAUAAAUGAAUAGACAAUAAGGAAGAGAGGGGGAGAUCUAGUUUGGUCACUUCAAGCUAUGAGCUAGUAUGAACCCAAGUAAACCUUUCACCCAACUACCCAAUUGAUGAGGAAGUGGUGCUCUUGAUGAUGAUGCCUUGAAACCUUUAGUGAGUCCUUCAAGUCUAACUAAAUUGUGAAAUGAGAAGAAAGGGAAGAGAUGAAGGGAUGAAAUGGUGAUGAGUGGUGUUGGCGACGGGAAAGGGCAAGAACCCUUCCCUUUUUCGUCUGUGCGGCUCCCUCUCUUCUCCUCUGUCUGUGGCUGGUUCCUCAGAGAAUGAAUGAGAUGAUUAUAUAUGACUUGGUCCGGUUGUGUGGUUGUAGAGGAAAAGAAGUGAUUAGGCCACGUGGCAGCUCCUCAUUGGAAGAGGCAUGGGAUUAGCACAUGAGAGGGAAAUGGAAAAUGAGCACGUUUUGGCCUUUGGCAAUCAUAAUUAACCAAUUAAUAAUUGGUUAAUUAAUUGAUUAACUACCAAUUUACUUCUUUCUCUUUUUCUUUUUGAGAAGAACUUCAUUUCGCUCCGAAAUUGUGCUAAUUCCCUAUGAAAUCUGCAUUCUUCUUAUUUCCUACAAAUAAAUAAAAUGGGAUUAAUUACAUCAUAAUUGGCUUGAAUAUUAGCUUAGUUCAUGUUUUUAGUGUCAGGACCCAUCCCGAAUUUCACCCUGAAACCCGAGGUAAAUCCUGCGAGGUCCACCUUCAAGGAAAAUUUACCGAAAAUUCGGCAUAACCUUCCUUAAAAAUGGACAACCCUUUCCUGAAAAAUCCAACUUAACACUUCUAUAAUCAAACAUCCAUCCUCAUCUUCUGGAGCCUUCCUGCUCCCCAAGUUCAUCAAAACUCCCAAUAACAAUUUCUCAUCUAAUAAUAAUUCCACAACCAACAACAAAGACAUUUAAUAAGCUGCUACUAGACUUUCAGAGCAUAUCUAAUGAUGAAUGAAAACAAAUAAGCGAAAGCAGCCUCUGACUAUGCCUCGACUCCAUGUACGCUCGUCCUCAAAUAACUUAGCCUGCAAACUAGGCAUUUAUAAACCAAAAGGCCCAGGGGAAAGUAAUUUAAAAACGUUAGAGUGAGUGGACGAAAAUAAAUUCAAUAACUUAACAAUUAUAAAACUUAUAUACUUUCCCACUUUUCAACUUUUAAAACUUAACAGCAUGCAACUUAAACGUCCUUAAAACUUUAAAUCCAAAAUCACUUAAUAAAGGACAAACCAGCCCCGCUGGUUAGUUAAAACAGAAAUCUCAUAAGAGGAGAUAAACCAGCCCUGUUGGUUAAUCAAAUAUAUUAUUGAGAAGAAUAAAAUAGGGGAAGAGUUAUCACCAUGAAAAAGGAGCCUCCCAGGUUAUAAUAGCAUCCCACGCUAAGCGCUCAACUCACAUAUGAUGAGGACCACUAAAUAAGGCUAUAAUAGCUCCCACGCUAAGUGCUCAACUCACAUAUGAUGAGGACCGCUAAUAAGGCUAGCUACCUAAUAAAUAUAAAUACCGAUCGGUUGCCUCCCAGGCUAUAAUAGCGUCCCACGCUAAGCGCUCUACUCACAUAUGAAGAAGACCGCUAAUAAGGCUAUAAUAGCGACUCACAUAUGAUGAGGACCGCUAAUAAGGUUAGCUAGCAAUAAUUAAGAUAAACGACCCUAUAAUAUAGUGACUAAAACAUACGAAGUCACUUAAAUCCAUUAAACUUCCCCCAAGACCAAACGAAUGGUACGGUUCCCAACCGUACAUGAAAAUCAUCAAAAGAAAUCAUAACACAACUCAAUGACGUGUCUCACACGUCAAAAUAUUCUCCAAUUUAUAAAUAUAAGCGAGAUUUCAAUAACAAAUAUGAAUCAUAAAUAAUAGUAUCUCCGCCCGAAAAUACUCGCUAAAAUAUUCUCCAAGUCAAAAAUCAUUACGCCUCAAAUAAACAAUUAAAUUAUGAGGAGAACUACCGACAAUCCCAUUUUCGGUAAUCAUUUAAAAAACUCAAAGUCAAGAUCGAUAUUCCACCAAUAAUUUCGAGAAUUAAAAAUAGGAAACUACCGAAAAUCCCAUUUUCGGAAAUCUUAUAUAAAUCUCAAAAUCCACCAUUAAAACCAUUUAAUGAAAUCCGGAAUUUAUAAAAAUAUCCAAACUCAAAUAUCAAAAUAAUAAUCCGAGCUCAACUCCAUAAAUCAUGACCAACACUUAAUAAAUGCACCAAACUCAAAUAAUUUUCUAGCUCAUCUCAUGAACUGAAAAAUUAUAUUAUAUGCUCGGAAAAUAAAAUGAUAGAUUAUAAAAUCUUGCAUGCAUAUUUAUUUUUAAAACCAAAAUGUCCACUCACAAAUUUAGGCAUAAGCCCGACAAUAACCGCAACGCUACUCAAGCGAGGUUCCAUUCGCAUCCUGGCACAACAACCAUGCUUAGAACCAAACUUCAAUUCCAGAAAAUAAAUACGUGAAUUAAAAUAUCUAACUCUCCUCCGUUUAACCCUCUAUUCUUAAUAGGGUUAAACUCGCCGGAUUCACACCAAACUCCACCACAACCUUAAUUCAUCAAUUCUAACAUUCUAUAAUAAAUACCAAGGAAAUCCAACGGCCGGAUUUUCAUUCUAAUAACCGGCAUUUUCUCCAAUCUCUGAAAAAUUCCAAACCUAACCAAAACUCAUCCAAAAAUUCCAAACUAUACUUCAAUAAACUCCUCUUAUUAAAACCAUCUCAAAAACAGGAAAAACUGCCCUUAAGGAGCGGCGGUGGCAGCUGCCCCGCUGGUGGCGGUGGCCGGCAGCAGUUUUCCGGCGACCUCUAAUACUUCUCAAAUUUUCACAGAAUAUUCCUCUCAUCAUGCUCAAUAACAUUCAUAACUAGCACUUAGUCCAUUUCUAAGGCUAACUAGGGCAAUCGAACCAAAACAUCCAUAAAUCCCUAAAAGUUCAAUUAUACAUUUCUCUAUAACCACAACGAGAUAGACUAAUUUCUUUUGAGGGAUUACUCACCUUGAUGAGGGCUACAAGAUGAGCCAAAGAUUUCGACCUAUGGCGGCCGGAGGUGGGAUUUCCGGCGAAAAGCUUCCCGGCGGGCUAACGGCUCGGGGGCUAGGCCGGGGAGGGAGAGGAGGUGGCGGGGGGGGGGGGGUCGGGGGCAGAGGUGGUCCGGCGGUCCCUGGCGGCUAGACGGCAGCGGACAGAGGCUCUUCUCCGGCGGGUCAAGUUGCACGGGUGAGGGAGGGAGAGAAAGUGACGGGUGAGGGAGAGAGGGAGAGAGAGGAAAUGAGGGGGGAGGGUUUUGGGCUGCUCCACAGCCGGCCCAGCUAUAAACCCAACAAAAAAAUAAUACCUAUUAAUAAUUACCCCCUUUUUCCGACUCAAAAUUUACUCUUUUAAUAAUAAUUUUUUUUCAUGCUUACUCCGAUUUUAACACAUAGAUUUCUACGAACUCGUAUUAACGUCCUCUACAACUUUCAUGAAGAAAGUUUCCCCAAAUUCUAAACGGAAAAGAAAGUCAACUUUAGGGUCCUUAAGGGGUAACCGGUUACUUAACACGGUAAAAGACCAAAAUAACACCAAAGUAAAUAAUCGUAAAAUAACUUAAGAACCGGAGUGUGACAUUUAGAAUAUAAUUAAGUGUAUAAAAAUACACGUAAUCAUGUGCUCGAGAGGUGAGGAAUGUCAUGUGUCGGGAAGUGCCUUAAGCACUUUGGUGACUUGUAGGUGUCACGCGCCGGGGAGUGUUUAUAGACUCGUCUCGGGUAGCUUAUAGAUGAUAGAUGUCGUGUGCCUGGGGAGUGUAUUCGCCACAGUUGGCUUAUCUAUGGUGAUAUUAUGCUGAUAGGUGUUGUAACCUUGUGUAUUUGGAGUAACGAGGUGUUGGAAUAUCGACGUGGAGAUUGAUUGUAGUGACCAAAGUCCUUAGCGUAACCAUGAGAGAACAAAGUCAUGAGGAUAGAAGAACCAUGGGAAGCAGCCAUGGAGACUAUCUAUAUGUGAGCAACCGACAUGUAACCAUAGGGAGUAGUGGUGGAGAGAUCAUAGAGAUCAUGUUAUGUAUAGAGAAAAAAGAAAAGAAAAUAAAACAAAAAAGAACCAAAGAGAAACCACGAGGAGACAGUGAAAAGACCAUGGAGAGUAGAGUCGUAUAUCAUGGAGAGCAAUCGCAGAGAGUCGCUGCAGGGGAUGACUGACGUGUGUAACUUUGAGAACAUGUCGUGACUGUACUGGAGGAUGUUGUUGAAAUAUUAUGGUGGUACUAUAUAGAUCUAAUGGCGUGGUGCCAUGAGAGGUUAUCAUGGCAAGAGUGGUGCCAUGAAAGAUCAUGAUGAAAUACCUUUCCUCGAGGUGAGGUUGUUGCAUACGCUCGUGGAGUGUAUAGCUUGAGAUUGCAUGUUUGUAUGUUGGCUGUGCACACUCGUGGUGUGUGUAGCCUGAGAUUGCACGUUGGAGUGUUGGCUGUAUACACUUGUGGUGUGUGUAGCCGUCUGUGGCGUAGUUAAGAGGCGUGGCUGUGUGUCAUGUAUCAUGAAGUGUGUAUGAAACUUCACUAUAUCAUAACUCGAAGGUGUCGCGACAAAGGGCUGCCACGACCUAUUGGUGUCAUGAAAUAUCAAGGCUCUUGUUCGAGAGAAUAAGAUCAUAGAUAUAUAACAGGUAUAUAUGGCUUGCAAUGAUUUGUAGCAAGUGUCAUAUGGUUUCCAAGUAUGUGUGUUUUGCAUGUACAUGAAAAUUAUAUUUAACAUGUGUACGUGACAAAGAGUGUUUGCUAACUCUAUGACAUGUAAAAAGCAUGCUUACGAAUAUUAUGAUGCAUGAGGCAUGUUAUUUGUAUGAUAAUAACUCAAUUAAAUAGUGUAAAGUAAGACUUAUCUAGAGCCGUGUAGAGCCGCUAUAAAUAUUGUUGAAAAAUUAGAGUUGUCGAUAUAAGACUCCAUGUCAGCAAAAGUGCCCUCAAGGCUCAUGUAAGUAUCUCGUUGGGGUAGCGGGACCAGUGGACUCAAUCAUUAAGCUCCCUGAGUAAGAAUCCCGAUAGAGUUGUCGAACCGAUGAUAGGACUCAAUCAUUGAGUUCACCGGUGAUGAUAAUGUUAAUGUUUUACUAAGAAGUAAUAUGUGUAUUAACAUAGAAGAGAGAAGUCGAUGGUAGCACAAGAAUGAGCUCUGUAACAUGUGUCGGCAUGUGUCGGAUGAUAUUUGAGGCAAGUAGAUGAGCAUACAAAGUGUUACCAUUGAUAAAGACGAGAGAGCUUAAUAUCAUGUUGUUCGUGGAUAGCUCAUAGAACUGUAGGUGCACAAGUUAUACAAAAUGUUGACAUGUCGACAACUUGCUGUUGGGCUUGACCCGAUUCAAUUUAUAUGGUGCCGAGAGGGCAUGACAAUUGAAGUCUUGAGAGUUGAACUAGGUAGCGAGCUAGGCAUAGGAAUUGGUGAAGCUUGUGUGAACAGGUGUCUAAGAAGUAACAACCUGUGUCAUGUGUUGUAGGAUCAAGUCGGUGGUGAUAGUUAAAUAACCAAAUAAUAGAUGUAGUGGUGUGGUAGCACUUAGAGUGGUGACAAUAUGACAUGGGCAAGUAUGGGAGUCAUAUAGUUAUGCGGUCUCCAUGAGAUAAUUAACCAAAGGCAUGUUGUCCUCUAGAGAUGCAGUCAAUCAUAGAGGCAUGUAUAUAUAGGGAGAUGCAUGAGAUUAAUAGCACGUAGCAUCUGAUAUAUGUGGUUGAUCAAUUAACCAAAUAGUCAAAUGAGGCGUCCACAGGAGAGCUUGUGCAUGCAACACACAGUGAACUAGUGAGCACGUGUAACUCAGCAUGGACAAACCGUAUAUUGCAAAGCAUAUAUACUCAUGUAUAUAUAUCAAUGAUCAAGGACAUGAUCAUAUGUAGUACAGAUACGACGAACUUCAUGUGGGAAGCGAGUGCGAACUGGAGUAUCAAGGGGUUGAAGAUUGAGCUUUUAGAUCUUGGGUCUCAUGUAAGAGCAGUGAGCGCGCUGCCGCCGUUGCCGGGAGCGCAUUAAUUUAGAGAGUAGAGGCCAUAGGGGAGGUCGUGAUAGUCCAUUAGGCGCACGUUUGGUACGUGCGUUUGGACUGGACUGGACUGGACUAACUAACAUAAGAAAAUAAGACAAAUCUUGUGUUUGGGAGAAUCAGGGAUUCAAUUUGAUGAGCUUUCGGAAGCUCCGUGUCCUCUCCACACCGUGUCACAGAGCGGCCCCAAAAUUGGGGGGACUCUAUAAGCUCUUGCUAUUCAACGCAGACGGAGGACUCUAGUGAGCUCAUGUGCAAAAGACGAAGUUCCUCGCCUCUCUUCUCCUCGUCUGUGAAAUUCCUCCUCUCGUUGCCGAUUCCAAGUUUGAUCUCCUCUCCUCUCGCUCUCUCUCGUUUUCUCUCUCUCUCUCUCUCUCAUCUUCAACCCUAAGCUGUCGCUAUUCAACACAGACGGAGGACUCAACUGCUCAAGUGCAAAAGACGAAGUUCCUCUCCUCUCUUACUCCUUGCUUGUGAAAUUCCUCCUCUCAUUGCCGAUUCCAGGUUCGAUCUCCUCUCCUCUCUCUCAUCUUCAGCCCUUCUCUGCCUUCUUUGUUCGUUAUCGAUCUGUCAUUUGAGUGAAAGGUCGAUUACAUAGAAAAUGUUCAUGGGUUGUAUGUAUCUUGAUUGAUUGUUUAAGGAUUGGAUAUCUGGGUAACUUGAUCUACUAUGAAUUGAUCAAUUUCAUGGCUGAAUUUUGUUUUGUUUUUUUGUUUUUGUUGGGUGAGUAGUUCAUUGAUUUAUAUGUUCCUGUGAAUAUUAGAUAUGGAUUGAAGACAAAUUUUGUUGCUCUUAUUGCUGGAGUUGUGGCACCUAGAGACCAUGUUUGCUUGCAUUAUGCUUGUGCAACUGAUGUUUAAUUUAAGAAGAAGACGAGCUGAAACACAUGCCCUAAGUAAUCGUUCAUUCAUUAGACAUCAAACUCGUUUGAGUUACCUAGAUAGUAUCAUAGGCAAUAGUGACACUGAGUGUGUAAAUGAAUUGAGAAUGGAUAGAAGGUGUUUUGGCCUACUGUGUGAAUUGUUGCAGACAGAUGGUAGGGUAAAGAAUGAUGGUUUGGUGUAUGUGGAGGAGUAAGUAUGCAUGUUUGUACAUAUACUUGCACAUCACGUGAAAAAUCGUAUUAUUACAGGUAGGUUUUUCAGAUCUCGAGAGACUAUUAGUAGGUACUUCAAUUAUAUACUACAAGGUGUUUUACGAUUGCAAGGGAGUUUGUUGAGGGUACUUGAUCCAGUACUUGCAAACUGCACAGAUCGUCGAUGGAAGUGUUUUAAGGUUGAUUUAUUGUGGGGGCUUCAUUUUUUGUUUUAAGCUUGACCUAUGACCUGUGUCUAUGUAGUUAAUAAACUUAAUGAAUUUUUUGUUUUAAUAGAAUUGCUUGGGGCACUAGAUGGAACUUACAUUAGAGUAUGUGUGCCUGCAAUUGACAAGCCCAGAUAUCGAACAAGAAAGGGUGAAGUUGCUACCAAUGUGUUGGCUGUUUGUUCUCGUGAUUUACAAUUCAUAUUUGUGUUACCGGGUUGGGAGGGAUUAGCGUCUGACUCUAGAGUUCUUCAUGAUGCAGUCACUAGGCCUAAUGGAUUAAGAGUUCCCACCGGUAAGGCUAUUGGCCAACAAUUUUGUUUAGAUUAAUUUUAGAUUGUUUCUUUGCCUUUACACACAUUGAUUGAAUUUUUAAUUUCGCUAUUAGGUUAUUAUUACCUUGUAGAUGGUGGUUACACGAAUGGUGAGGGAUUUCUUGCCCCAUAUAGGGGAACAAGGUAUCACUUAUCGGAAUGGGAUAAUGGAAAUAUGCCUAGAGAUCAUGUGGAAUACUUUAAUAUGAAGCAUUCCAAGGCAAGAAAUGUCAUAGAAAGGAGUUUUGGAUUGCUGAAAGGAAGGUGGGGAAUACUAAGGAGCCCAUCAUUUUAUCCAAUAAAAACACAAUGCCGCAUAAUUAUGGUUUGUUGUCUUUUACAUAAUUUAAUUAAGAGAGAGAUGUCCGUUGAUCCGAUGGAGAAUGUAGUAUUUCCUUUAGAACCACAAAACGUGGAAGACAUUGAUGUGGUUGGCACCGUUGAAUCGUCUGAUCAAUGGACUACUUGGAGGAAUGACUUAGAUUUACAGAUGUUUAAUGAGUGGAGGGGAAGAAGGCUUGCAAGGGAAGCAAGAGCUGCUAAGGUUGUAGAAAUUACUACAAGGCCCAGAACAGCUGCAAGGGCUGCAACUGCAAGGAAUGAAAGAUCUGCUAGGGAAUGACCGAUAAACAAGAUCUUCAAGGCCUUAGAUGGCAGUUUGAGCUGUGUUGUGCGUCUGAUUUGUUGUUGUGUACUUUGCUUAUGUCAUUUAACAAGAAUAUUUUACUUUGAAGUUAUGUACUUUGCUUAUGUCAUUUAACAAGAACAUUCUUUGCUGAUGCGUACUUCUUUUAUUGUUGUUAGUUGUUUUAGUUGUUUUAUAAUUACAAGGACAUCCAUUGUCUUCCUCAUUUUACUUUUUUUCAUGUCUAGAAGAAAAGCACAAUUGAGAAAGGGAGCACUAUUUGGUAUUUGCAAUUCUUCUUUGAGAAAGGGAUUGAUAUUACAGCUAAGGCCUUUUUGUUUUGUAUUUUGGGGGGUUUCUUUCUCUCUUUCUUCUUCUCACUUCUCUCUGCUGCCGUUGUUGACCAUGACCCUUUGUUAUGUUAAUACUUAAUAAUCAGACAAAGAGUUGAUACGAUUUGUAUUGUUUUUUUUUAUUGUUUACAUCAUUGGUUGUUGUAUUAUUGUUUGUCAAGGUGAGAGAGCUAGUUCAGGCAUUUUGGUUUUAUCUGAAGGUGCAGUUUUUAUUGUCAAGUUUGUAGCUUUUUGAACUGGAAGUGCUGCUUUUGAUUUUCUAGGAGUUGCUGCUUUUGGUUGUUUAGAAUAUAUCUGUGUGGUUUAGGAGCUUGAGGGGAUGAAAUGAAAGGUAGGAUUACCAGGAAACUACUUUGUGUUGAACAGAGGAGAUAAUGAGGUUGAAGUUGGUGAGGCAUUAGAUGAAGCAUUUAGUUGUUGGGGUGAAGGCCAUAUUCUAUAUACAGAUUGAGACAGAUUUGGACAUUUUCAGUUGUUUAUGGUGAAAUUCAAUUUUGUUUUCUCCUCUCAUAUUGUUGACUGUUGUUGAUGAGUUUCACUUGUUUAUUUGACCGUUGUUGCUCUGUUUUAUAGAAAAUGGAAGCUGGUGAUGAAAAUUCUGAACAAGGAAAGCAAAAGCGUAUAUGGAGCAGUUUUGAGGAAGAAUCUUUGUUGAAUAUACUUGAUAGUAUUGUUGCUGGUGGACAACGUUGCGAUACUGGAAGUUUCAAAUCUGGUACGUUAACAAAAAUAGAGCAUGCUUUGAAUGAUACAUGUCCUAAUUCCAAUUUGAAGGCAAGUCCACAUAUUGAGUCAAAGUUGAAGAAACUGAAAAAGGAUUAUAGCAUCAUCUAUGACAUGAUAAACAAGAGUGGAUUUGCAGGGAAUGACGUUAAAAAAUGUGUGGAAGUUGAUACUAAUGAAGUAUGGGACAGCUAUGUAAAGGUAAUGAUGUAAAUACUUUAGUUUUGUUUUGAGGUUACAAAUUCAUUUUGAGCUUCAUGAAUCUGGAUUUAAAUCUUACUAGUUUCCUUUGUCAUUCUAUGUCAUAGCACAGCAAAAAGGCAAAAGGCUGGAGAAAUAAAUCUAUCCCAUGUUUGAGAGGCUAGCUAACAUCUUUGGGAAUGACCGUGCUAACGGAAAUGCAGCUGAGGCCCCUGCUGAUAUGGUGGAGCAGCAGAGCAACAAUGAAGAUGAGGUUGAUCUUGAGAAUGACAUAAGUCCCAUGUCAGUAGAAGGCAGCCGAACCUCUCAGGUCAGUCAAAAAAAGAGGAAAAUAAAUGAUGAAGAUAGAAUCAUUCUUGCAUUGGAUAGGAUGUUUGAAGAAUCUGGAAAAAGAAUGCAAAUGGUGACUGAUGCCAUAGUGAAAGGUAAUGAAGACCGAUCUGAAUUGCUAAGGAACUCAAGAAUAUGGGACUUUCUCCUCUAGACCAAAUUGAGGUAAUGAAAAUGAUUUUGGAAAAGCCCCAAAAUAUCUCUUUGUUCAUGUCCUUAGAUGAUGAUGUGAGGAAAGUGUAUGUGGAAAAUCUGUUUGGUGGUAGUGCUAGGGGAUCUAACUAGCUGCUGACUUUAUAUGCGUUUAGAGAGAGUUGUUGCCUUAACACAUGUUUGACAAGCCACCAUUUUCUAGAUGAACUCAUUUUGUAAUUGCUAGAUUAGCAUUCAUGUUUGAUACUUUGUUAGGAUGUGGGCUGCUAAUUGGGAGUUCACUUUGAAGUUGUUGUAUUAUUUGGUGGACUUGUCGAUGUGUAAACUAUUUACUCUUAAUUUUGGUUGUGGUGGCUUACUAAUCUAUGAAGUUGAAAUUUGGAUGAAAAUUAUAUUCAGUUCUUAUAAUUUGAUCAAAGUGCAGACUGAUUCAUUUUGUUCAAGGAAUUGUGGUUUUCAGUUUUAAUUUAGUCUCGUACAUCAUCAAACAUGGGACAGGACUAUUCUGCUUAUUCUGCUCUUUAGUCCCAAGCAGUACCAAACAUGGGUUAGGGCUUAUUGUAGAAUAAGCCAAGCUUAGACAGUCCAAGACUAUUAUAAAAAAUAGUCCUGUCUAAGACAGUCCGGUGUACCAAACGACCCCUAGAAGUGUGGUUGGAGUUGCUAUCAAGAGUAAAUGGCUGAGAAUUGAAUUGUGGGUGCCAAGAGUAAAUGGCUGGGUGCCGAGACCACCUCUUUCUUUUUGUUAGCACAUCGUUGUGUUGGGAACCCGGGAGGGGUGGUGGAGGUGCCGUGAACCCGGGUGGGUGGGGUUUCCGCUUGAUCUCGUAGUGAUGGUUUUAGACUAGUGACUUAACUUUUGAGGAGGUAUUUGAAAAAAUUUGAUGUUCUCACCUCCAUGGUUUUGAAUUUUGUGUCGAUGCGACUACUCGGAGGAGAGAAGAGUUUGUGGUGAUGUUGUUCCAGGGAUGGUUUGAACGAAAAAGAGAAAAGAAGCUGGGUGUCCAUAGCAGUUUCUGGGUGUUCACAGUGGUGGUGUGUGAGCUGGUUUUCCGGCAUCGUCGAGCUGCAGGGAGGCCAGAUUUGACUCAUGGAAGGAAGACAAGUUUGAUGGUGGUGGAGGUGAGAUACUGUGGUGCCGUAAUACCCACAAGUGAAGGGGAGAGAGAAAGCCAGAUCUACUUUCUCUCUCCUUCGGUUUUCUCUAAAACCAACCCAGAAGUUAGACUUGUUUUGAGAAUCAUCUGUGAGUAAUGAAAAUGAAGAUGUGAAGAAGGUUAGCUCCUCGUGUGCGAGCAGGGAGAAGCUCGAGAAAAAAGAGAAGGUUGGCAAUCGGAAAAAGAAAAUUUUCCAAGAAGGAAAUCUGGGCAGAUUAUGGAUAUGCUCGUGGUGAGUUGUGUGAGGGUUUCGACUUGAGGUCCCCUCCUUCUAGCGCCAAUUGUUUCAGCGUGAUUUCUGAGAGGGUGAAUCACACAGAAUACGGGAAGAAUACCAUCUUCAAGACCCAUAACCUGUUAAUCAUGAGCAAUAGGCGAGUAGGACCAAUGUUUUAUCUCUCACAUAUGAUGUGUUAACAAUUAAUGGUAGGGUGGCAAUAGCCGCACCUAUAAAUUUAUUUUGCAUAUAACGCAAUAGGAAUGUCUCCUAGCUAGCUCUUUUGGCAAAGCAUAUAACUUUCCUGUAACAGAAUAAUUAUGUCCGUAAGUAGUAGUAUUUGCACUUGACAUUCAAGUCUUGGUCGAUAUUAAUAUGCGCAAUUGAAGCAAGGUUGUAAUGCUAUACCAUAAAUAUUGUUCUGGGCAUAUAUAGUGAAGCCUGGGCAUAUAUAGUGAAGCUAUGAUAGGUGGUACUAGUUUUUGAGUACGGUAUAAAAAGGGACAAGGGAAAUCGAUGUUAUCAUAUCUCUGAAGUUCACAAGAUACAAAUAUACAUUCAUAAUAUGGGGUUGCAGAACGUUUUGAUUAUCUUGAGCAUUGUCGCCUGCCUCAUCUCGACUUCUAUGGCCACACCAGGAGUUGCUACUUUCUACACCAGCUAUACUCGUGAGUAUUUAUUCACCUAAGGCUUUCUGUGUACUUCUUUCUUUGUACAAGUUACCUCAUCAACAUUCUCAAAGUUUAACCUCGAUGUUUUUGUUUUCAGCAUCAGCAUGCUACGGUGAUACCCCAGAAGGCGUGAUGAUUGCAUCAGCAGGUGACGCUAUAUGGAACAAUGGUGCAGCCUGUGGGAAAUAUUUCACCGUUAAAUGUACAGGUCCUAGGAAUCCAGUACCACAUCCUUGCACUGGUGCGACCGUUAAAGUAAAAAUUGUAGAUCAUUGUCCUGGAUGCCCAUCAACACUCGACCUUUCUAAAGAGGCUUUCACCAAAAUCGCUAACCCUGUUGCUGGAAUAAUUAAUAUUGAUUAUUGGUAGUAAGCUUCACAAUUACUUAGUUCAUUACAAAUCAUGAUGUCUUAAUUUGCAAGGUAUAUUAAUAAUCUCCCUCACCACAGUCACAUAGAUGAUACUGUAUACUUGAGUUCGUUGAGUAGUUAAUAACUAGAAAUAAUGCCCCCGCCUUGCUGGGGGGUUUUUGUUAACAUUGUUGUAUGUGAUGUCAUGUCGAUGAAAUUCAGUCCAGCAUAGCAAUAAACCAAAAGCUCACUUGUCAGAUCAAGAGAGAAGCAACAAUGCUAAGUCUCUAACGAAGGGUAUAUACAUACAAUGAUUCAAUUCUAAUGAAACAAAAUCGCAUAUUAAUAUUCUCUUUUGUUUCACUGCUAGAAGAAUCAAAUGGGCAUUUACAAUUGAUUCAACAAUAAUCAACUAAUGUGAAAUUCAAAUCAAUGUUAGGUCCCUUGGUAGAAUGUGAAGCAGGAUUAAUAAUGGAUACACACCUUUCUCUAAUGUUGCAAUAACAGAAAAUGAUCAUUGCAAAACCUUCGUGUGAAACUAAGCUCAUACAAUCAUAAGAAGAUGCUGUUUCUACCUCUUCCGUGAACACGGGACGGGAGGUCAAAUCCUUCGCUCCGGGUCCUGUAACUGCACAAGCAACAAUGCGUUAGGAGUCGGGACUAGGGUGGCCCAGUCUUUUACUCUCUGAUGCUUAAGUCAGCGUUUGAUUGCUACUUGUAUAGUACGGGAGUAUGGGAGGAGUAGUAAAACUUACCUUUUCUAGGGAUUUGUGCCUGUUUUAUAGGCUAGUAUUGGGGGUUUUGUUGUUAGUUCUCGAUGUGGGACUGUUCAGCGGUACUGUUCAGUCUCUUCCCUUUCAGGGGUGUUUAGCUGUUGCAGAGUGGUUUUGGUAUGCAUUUUGCUGCUAUGCUUCCACUCUUUGGGUAUCUAUAGAAGGCUUCCCGGUGAUGGCUUGGCCGGAAUGGCUUCCGGCGAGUGGGUAAUGACACUGCAUUCUUCGUAUGGCCAAGUGUUUUGGCUAUGUAUUAACAAGUCCCCAAGUCCCCAGUCCGAGAGAGCUCUUGGGUGGGGAGUUAUUCCCAAGUUAUGCCGAGAAUGUGUCUUACCUGGGAGCUAGAGGCAUGGUGUCGAGUCCCCAAGUCCCCACACGAGGGUCGCGAGGUGGCUACGGUUAUGUUCCGAGAACUCGGUAUGAACUUUUGUGUCAUAUCUCGCAUGUGUCAUAAAUGGCCAGUUUAUGAGGAACACGCGGUCAUUUAUAGCUAAGUUUUAAGGUCGUAACUAGUUUCGUUGGUUUUUUUUUUUUUUUUGUAACGUGCGCGUAAUUAACGCGCGUGGGUGGGACAGAGUCUUAAAUGCGCUGCCUGAUCAUGGUCGACGUGGUUACUUCCCUAACCAUUGAGAUGGGGGAGAUCUGGACGGUCAAUGUUAAUUUGAACGCCUAUAAAUAGGGUUGGAGAAAACAGAAGGAGGGAGUUUGCAUUUCGAAAACAAAGGGACUAGGGCUAAGAGAGUGUGUUGUUCUGUUUGUGAAGGGAGGGUCUUCGGCGAACUGUGGAUCGAAACUGGGGAACGUCCAAUUUCAUCCUCGAUCGAUUGGGUGUGAGCGCUCGGCUGUUUGCAACCAGCUUCACUGCCUCUACACGAAUCCAAUUUUUCAAGGUAUGAAUUGGCCAAUUCUUGUUCUGGGUUUUGCUUUUGCUUUAUUUCGAAUUGAUAGGGAAAGUUUGUGUGAAUUUCGCUUCAGUUGCGACAUUGCUAGGAGAGUCUAGAGUUGGGGAUUGAAUGGUUUGUUAUCGGGUUAGCUAGGGUUAAGGUAGCGAGAAUCUAACAUGUGAGGAUGUAGGGUAUGACAGAUUCGGUGGGGGUGUCCAGCGAGGAGAUUGUGAUUCUCUCUAGCUCGACUAAUCCUGAUUCGGACACCUUGCACCGGUGGGAGGAGGAAGUGAAUUAUCUUAUGGCGGAGGUUGCCCUUGACUUAGGGGAGGGCAUUCCCGCUACAGAUGUUGGGUCUCACGUGUCCUCGUCGGACCCUCUAUUGCAGGAGGUAGAAGAGUUUAGCAUGGCGAGAUCUCGGGAGGAUGACGAGUCUUUUUGGGAUCCGCCUGGCGAGAGUAUGACAUCAUCAGAGUUGAAGGCACUCCGGGAGAAAUGGAGCAUCCCCAAGGAGGUCUUGUUGCGGCCUCUCGGGAGGGGUGUUAAUUUCUAGGACCCCCCGGACAACUUUACUCUGGUAUACGACUACCAGCUGCGAUGCGGGUUAAUGUUCCCGCUACCUGCCUUUCUGCAGUACACCUUAGCGUGUCUGCAUGUCGCCCCGGGGCAAGUGACCCCGAACAUGUUGCGACAAAUAUUAGGAACAGGGGUGCUUUUCCGUUUGCUGGGGCAAGAGUUCCCCAACUUGAGGAGUUCAACGCCUGUUGGCAUAUGGCGUACUGAGUGAAGAAGGGCAACCGGGGUUGCAUGACUUUGAAGUCCCGGGGGAAGUUCAAGAUCUUAGUAGAAGACUUGCCUACCUCUACGAACGAGGGUUGGCGACAGAAGUGCUUCCUUGUCGGGGGGCAGUGGCAGGAGUGGCAUGGACACCUUUUUUGAGUACCCGGGGCGUUCCAAAAAAUAGGUACCAUGUUUUGUGUCUCGUUUUUUCUUUCUGUUUGUACUGUUCUACCCCCUGCUGACUUUGUGUAGUGCCCCAAGAAUAUAAAUUAACCGAGCUAAUGGGCCGGCUAUGAGGGCCUCGUAUUCAGCUAUGUUGUUGGAUGCUUUGAAUUCAAACUGGAGAGCAUAUUCAUAAGAAUGGCCUUCUGGGUCUGUGAUUAUUAUCCCUGCUCCACUACGCCUGUUGUUGGAGGAUCCAUCAACGUGGAGUUCCCAAAUUUCGUUCCGGGGGAGGACGUCCUGGUUUGGGUCACCUGGGUUCAUGGGGAUGAAUUCAGCAAUGAAAUCCGUAGCAGCUUGUCCUUUUAUGGCUGUUCUGGGUUUGAAAUGUAGGUCAAAUUCUCUCAAUUCUAUUGCCCAUUUUACCAUGCGUCCUGAAGUUUCAGGGUUUUGGAGUAUUUGCCUCAGAGGGUGGUUGGUGAGGACAUGGAUAGUAUGUGCCUGGAAGUAUUGUCUGAGUUUUCUGGCUGCGGUGAUGAGGGAUAAAGCUAAUUUCUUGAUGUCAGGGUAGCGGGUUUCGGGGUUUGUGAACCCUCUACCUCAGUAGUAUACUGGGAACUCAUUGUCAUGAUCAAGACGUGUGAGAGCAGCGCUGAUGGCUGUGGCUGAAACAGCCAAAUAUAGGUAAAGUACUUCUCCCGGGACAGGUUUGGAGAGAAGAGGGACCACCGCAAGGUAGGCUUUGAUAUUAUUGAAGGCAUCAUCAUGUUCCGGGCCCCAUGCCACAUUCUCCUUGUACUGAGUUUUUAGCAGUUGAAAGAAUGGGUUGCAUUUGACUGUGAGGUGGGAGAUGUGCCAUGGCCUCCGCAAUGCCGUAGAACACUUGAUUCGUAAUGGCCAACUCCAUCAUUACUGCACUCCCGCCACAAGAGCCAAUGCCAUUGAAGUUCAUGGUCAGAUCUUAACCAUACAUGGCGGCGCCCCGCGACUCCCUCCUCGUCAGCCUUCGGCAAAAAGGCAAUGCACGAGCCACUUUGAAAUUCUUGAACUGCAAAGAGGUGUCACCACCACCCCAUCGACAUGGGACCAGGUGGCAUUUUCCAAAAAGGAAGAUACGAUCAGUUGCCAUCACAAUGAACCCUUCAUAAUCAAUGUCCAAGUGGAUCACUACAGGUGUCAUAGGGCCCUCGUGGACACAGGUGCCGCGGUCAAUGUCAUGUUUGCCGAUUGUUAUAGAGGACUCCGGCGUGACCGAGCUAAGUUAUAUAACAACCAUGAUCCCCUCGUCAGCUUCUCCGGUGAGAUUGUGCAGCCCUUGGGCUCAGACCGCCUGACAGUGUUCGUAGGGGCCAACCCCUACCGUACUUCCAUCACAGCACGCUUUCUCAUAGUUGAUUGCCCCUCCUCCUACAACCUCAUCUUGGGUCGCGACAUCCUCUAGGGACUACAAUAUUUCAUUGCAGGUCACAUGCUACUCAUGAAAGUGCCCAAUCCAAGGGGAUAGGGCAGCCAUUGAACAUUGCCAUCUUAAUGCCAUCCAACAGGGACGUGGGGCCUAUGAGAUGUUGCCACUUAGCCCUGCGGAACCCAUUGAUGACCCCAAGGACGACCCUGAAGGAAAGGACAAGAAGCAAGCCCCAAGACCUAACCAGGCAGAAGACACAGAAUGGGUAUCCCUGUCGCUCAGUGCUCCCGAGAGGAAGGUCCGCAUCGGCACGAGCCUUAGCCUGGAACUCCGCCACAAGCUCAUUGCAUUCCUCUAAGAUAAGCAAACAGUUUUUGCCUGAUCCUAUGCUGACAUGCCAGGCAUCUCCGCUGAUGUCAUCACACACAAACUUAAUAUUCUUAAAGACCAUCCCCAUGUCAAGCAAAAACGGUGUGCCUUUAACCCGGAGAAGUAUCGCGCCAUCCAGGCCGAGGUCCAGCGGUUAAAAGAAAUCAAGUUCAUACGUGAGGUCUCGUACCUGACAUGGGUUUCCAAUGUGGUCAUGGUAUUGAAAUCACUCCACAGCGGAGUCUGUGAAAACCAUGCGGGGGCUCGGAACCUCAUGUUCAAAGCGUUAAGAGCUGGAUACUAUUGGCCAACAUUAGAGCAAGAUGCAAAGGCAGUUGUCCAAUCAUGCCUUCACUGCCACAAAUUUGCAGAUUUUGCCCGCCGUCCCCCAGUUCCACUAUCUGUUAUCAUUUCCCUAGUCCCUUUCAGCCAAUGGGGACUCGACUUCCUAGGCCGGCUACCCACAGCCUCGGGACAACUCAAAUUUGCUAUCGUCCUGGUGGACUAUAACACCAAAUGGAUAGAAGCAGAGCCCCUUGCUACAAUCACAACCGAAAAAGUGAUCAACUUCUUAUGGCGUAAUUUAUACUGCCGGUUUGGGGUACCACAAGCCAUCAUCACAGAUAAUGGGACGCAGUUUGACAAUGACACAUUCAGAGAAUUCCUCUUCGAGCAAGGCACAACAAUCUUCUAUGCCUCCCCAGCACACCCCCAAACCAAUGGCUAAGUGGAAGCUAUAAACAAGCUCAUCAAGCAAAACCUGAAGAAACGCCUGGAAGAUGCUAAAGGGUUAUGGGCAGCCAAGCUCCCGAAAGUCCUUUGGACACUUCGAACCACCCCAACAGCAGCCACAGGGGAAUACCCAUACCUCUUGUCCUGUGGCACCGAGGCAGUGAUCCCUGUAGAGAUGGAGGUCUCGAGUGAACGUGUCACAACAUAUGACCCCAGAGAAACGCUUUGGGACUGCGUCUCAACAUGGACCUUCUCGAGGAGCACCGAGACAAAGCAUAUCUUAGGAAUGUCAACAACAAACAAAAAAUUGCCAAGCAUUACAACAAAAAAGUUACCCCCCGCCAUCUAAAAGUAGGGGAUUGGGUCAUGAAAGAGGUUAUCCCCCACCCUACAGGGCUCAAGGCAAAAUGCGAAGGCCCAUUGGAGAUAGUCAACGCCUCAGGACCAGCUACCUUUUACCUUUGUGACACCGAUGGCCGAGUCCUACCGCGCCCCUGGAAUGCUCGCCACCUCCACCUCUACCCUGUUUAGCUUCUCAACACUCCGGCGUCAACAUGGCAAUUAGUACUUCAUUGUGUACUUUAGCCUGGUAGCGGUUCAUUUCAAAUGUACACCUUGCCCAUUAGCGGCCUAUAUGAAGUAACUAUUUUCUCAAUCUUUUUCAACAUUCCAACAAAUGAACACAGUACAAAACAACCACACAUGCACAAGAAGCAAACGUAUUCCUUAACAUAAAUAACCUGGACUCCCAGACAAUUCAUAAAUGGAAAAAUUGUUCAACAUGGCUAACCACGCCACCAAAAAACGUUGUUCCCAGGACAAGCAAGCAGUUAAACUAAAAGAAAAACAAACCAACUACAACAAGUACACCAUCCAAACUAUUUCUCCCCAGAAGAGGCCCCACUUGACUUAUUCACACUUCCGCCACUCUUCGACCCACUACCCCGCCCGCGACCUUGGCCGAUGUUUACCGACACCCUCUGCCCAUAACCAUGCUUAGAGCGGUCGCGUGCCACAGCUGGCGGCCUCACUGACACAUUUGGACGCACCAGCGAGCUCACCUGUUGCACUUCCGGGACAGGGGACUUGGACACGGAAGCCAUUAGCACUUCAACCCGUGGAGACGCCGCAAGACCAGCAACUCGCGGGUUAGGCUGCUCAACAGCAGAAGACGCAACCUGUAAUAUCUCACAUCGGCCAAACGGAGAGGGUUUAUGUGCUGUAUAUGUACAUGCCUACCUCAAAUCUAAUACGCCUUUUGGUGGCUCAGCGGCUUCGGAGGGGUUGGGUACUCCGAGGUUAAGCAUGUUGAUGCUAAAGCAAUCCCAGGAUGGGUGACCUACUGGGAAGCUGCUCCUGAGCUGCUGGAAAUAAAACCGUGAGGGCCGGUGGGCCCAAAGCGGACAAUAUCGUGUUACGGCGGAAUGGGUCCUGGGAUGUGACAAAUGGUAUCAGAGCCACUCUGCCGUGCGGUGCGAGUGUGCCGACGAGGGCGUCGGACUCCCAAGGGGGGUGGAUUGUAAUAUCCCACAUCGGCCAAACGGAGAGGGGUUAUUGCUGUAUAUGUACAUGCCCACCUCCAAUCUAAUACGAGGCCUUUUGGUGGCUCAGCGGCUUCGGAGGGGUUGGGUACUCCGAGGUUAAGCAUGUUGAUGCUAGAGCAAUCCCAAGAUGGGUGACCUACUGGGAAGCUGCUCCUGAGCUGCUGGAAACAAAACCGUGAGGGCCGGUGGGCCCAAAGCGGACAAUAUCGUGUUACGGCGGAAUGUGUCCUGGGAUGUGACACAACCUGAGAAACGGCCACCUGGGUCGAAGGGGAUCCCUCGGGACGUGGAACCCUUGGAGAAGCAGCAGCCAUGGUAAGCGGUCGAGGCACACCCGCAAUAGAAACUUCCUUCGGCACAACAGAGGAAGUAGCACGCCAAGUUUCAUGCUGUUUCGCUAGGGUCCGCGAGAUCUCGGCUUGCUUCCUUUUCUCUGGAGUCAUCUGUUCCCAAGCCUUCCUCGCAACAUCCCUCUCGGCGUAAAACUUACGCAUUGCCGCCUCGUUAAUCCAGCCAGCCGCGCACCCGGUUUUACUCAGCUCAUCCUGACCCCGGUUAUAGACACUCUUCAGCUGUUGCUUGUAGAGGUCGCUCUCGCGGAACACCCUCUCCCCAGCCCCGGCUGCCCUGGCACACUUCAUCUUCCAAGCCCUUUCCUGUUCUGCCAAAGCAUGAUUCAAUUUCGCCACCUCAGCCUCCAGGGAAGGAAUCUUGGCGGCAGCCAAUUCUCCAGCUUCCACCUGCUUGUCUUUCUCCUCCAUGGCUUUCUUCAGCACAGCCACCUCUUGCCCAGCAGUUGCGGCUUGGUCACGGAACACAACAGCGUCCUGCUCUACUUGCUCCAAAAGUCGUGUGAGGGCGCGGUUAUUCUCUUCUUCCUCCUUCAGUUGCUGACAUUUGGUCUCAGCAUCUUCCUACAGAUGAGUCACAGCCCUCUCGCUUGCCGCUUACAUAAGAAGGGUAGCCUAUAGGCAAGACAACAACAUAAAAAACAAAAAGAAAAAAAAGAAAAAAAAAGAAAAAAAAAAAGCAACAAACGGAGAAAAGCACAACUGCACCCCCUGAACGCCUACCCGGGUCAACUUCUCCUUAGCAAGAGCAAUGCCAGCUAAGGGCUCAACCUCCUCCAGGGAAUUCAUGUCGUGGGAGCGGUGCCGCAUCUCAUACGCCAUUUGCGCUAAGUAUGGUUGCGCAUCCCCGGUCCCCUCCAGUGCAUGGGUGAUCUCAGCCAAACUCCCGGAACUUCCAGAACGCCCUUCUUUCCGGGACCUUUUUCUUUGGCCAUCACGCGAACACUCGACCCUCUCCUUCCUCUUCCGAGUCUUGGUCACGAUGACCUCCUCUGAUUCCUGCCCAAGGGGAUCCACCUCCUCUGUCACGAGAUCCUCGCCACCAGUCUGGCCUUCCCCUACAUCUCCCAGCGACACACCCUCCAUCCCAACUGGCUCCGGGACAUGCUCUUCCCCCACCGGAACCUGUUCUUCCUCCCCCCCUCGAUCACCACCCCCGACUUCUACGCCCUCGUCGCUCACCUUUGGUCGCCUAAGCCCAUUACUUCCGCCACCAAGGGAGGCAUGUAAGCAUAGUCGUCAUCCACCAAAUUCAACCUCACAAAAUCAUCCUCACCCUCGCCAAACUCCACCUCCUUCCCUUCCCCAGUCUCCAGGUCGACAUCAAACCGCUUGGCGUGCGCAUCCUCUGCCAGCAACCCAUCCAGAACAUCCUGGUCAGAGACCUUGUCAUAAGGCCCUUCCUUCUUUCGCGACCCAGCAUCCCGAGUCAUCGUCACUGCAUCAAACAAAAUAAAGAUCACAACACAGGCAAAAAAUGCAAAUCUAUACAAACAGCUCAAAAAGCAAAAUACAGACCCGGAAGUAACUGAAAUAACUGUACACGCCAAGGCGGCAUAUCCGGUAUGAAGUCCUACACUCGAAUGCCCACAGCACCCGGCGUAUCCGACGCUCCAUUAGCUCGGUUAAUCUAUAUUCUUGGGGCACUACACAAAGUGAGCAGUCAGCAAGGGCAGAACAGUACAAACAAAAAGAAAACAUGAGACACAAAAACAUGAUACCUAUUUUUUGGAACGCCCCGGGUACUCGGAACGGGUGUCCAUGCCACUCCUGCCACUGCCCCCCGACAAGGAAACACUUCCGUCGCCAACCCUCGCUCGUAGUAGGCAAUUCCUCUACUAGGAUCUUGAACUUCCCCCGAGACUUCAACGUCAUGCAACCCUGGCUGCCCUUCUUCGCACAGUACGCCAUAUGUCAACAGGCGUUGAACUCCUCACAGUUGGAGAACUCUUGCCCCAGCAAACGAAAAAGCACCCCUGUUCCUAAUAUUUGUCGCAACAUGUUUGGGGUAACUUGCCCCGGGGCGACAUGCAGACACGCCAAGGUGUACUGCAGAAAGACAGGUAACGGGAACAUCAACCCGCAUUUCAACUGGUACUCGUAUACCAGGGUAAAGUUGUCUAGGGGGUCCCAGAAAUUAACACCCCUCCCUAGAGGCCGUAACAAGACCUCCUCGGGGAUACUCCAAUUCUCCCUGAGCGCCUUCAAUUCUGACGACAUCAUACUCUCGCCAAGAGGAUCCCAGAACGAGUCAUCGUCUUCCCGAGACCUCGUCAUGCUAAACUCUUCUACCUCCUGCAAGAGAGGGUCAGACGAGGAUACAUGAGACCCUGCAUCCGUAACAGGAAUGCCUUCCCCUAAGUCAAGCGCAACCUCCGCCAUAAGGUAAUCUACUUUCUACUCCAACCGGUGCAAGGUGUCGAAAUCAGGAUCAGUCAAGCUAGAGACAACCACAAUCUCCUCGCUGGACACCCACACCGGAUCUGUCAUACCCUACAUCCUCACAUGUCAGACUCUCGCUACCUUAACACUAGCUAACCCGAUAGCAAGCCACUCAAUCCUCUAAUCUAGCUUAGCACAGUAACCACUGAAGCAAAACCCACACACACUGUCCCUAUUGACUCAAAAUAAAACAAAAACAGAACCCAGAACGGGAAUUGACAAGUUCAUACUUGGGAAAAUUGGAUCUGUGUAGUGGCAAUGAAGCUGGUUGCAACCAGCCGAGAGCUCACACCCAAUCGAUCGAGGAUGAAAUUGGACGUUCCCCAGGUUCGAUUCACAGUUCGUCACAGCCCCUCUUCACAUAUCGAGCAACCCACUAUUCAGCCCUAAUUCCUCUGUUUUCGAAAUGCAAACUCCCUCCUUCUGUUUCCCAGGACUAUUUAUAGAGCAUUUAAGGGGACCUUAACCGUCCAAAUCCUCUCCCUCUCAACGGUCAGGGCAUAGCCACGUCAACCACGAUCAGAGGGCACAUUAAAGACGCGCCCCACGAUCCCACGCACGCGCGUUAAUUACGUGCACGUUACAAAAAAAAAAAACACAACACACAAACCAACGAAACCGUUACGACCUUAAAACUCCCCAUAAAUGACCGCGUGUCCCUCAUAAACUGGCCAUUUAUGACACACACGGGAUAUGACGCAGAGGUUCGUACCGAGUUCUCGGAACGUAACCCCAGCCACCUAGCGACCCUCGCGUGGCGACUUGGGGACUCGGGACCAUGCCCCCAGCUCCCGGGUAAGACAAUCUCGGAAUGUAACCCCCGCCACCUCGCGACCCUCGCGUGGCGACUUGGGGACUCGGUACCAUGCCCCCAGCUCCAGGGUAAGACAAUCUCGAAACGUAACCCCAGCCACCUCGCGACCCUCGCGUGGGGAUUUGGGGACUCGGCACCAUGCCUCCAACUCCCGGGUAAGACACAUUCUCGGCAUAACUUGGGAAUAAUUCCCCAUCCAAGAGCUCUCUCGGACUGGGGACUUAGGGACUUGUUAAUACAUAGCUAAAACACUUGGCCACGCCGAGAAUGCAAUGUCAUUACCCACUCGCCGGAAACCAUUCCGGCCAAGCCAUCAUCGGCAAGCCUGCCACGGUCGCCCAAAGAGUGGGAGCAUAGCAGCAACAUGCAUGCCAAGCCUACUCUACAAUAGCUAAACCCCCCUGAAAGGGAAGAGACUAAACAGUACCACAGAACAGUCCCACAUCGGAGACUAAUCACAAAACCCCCAACACAAGCCUAUAAAACAGGCACGAACUCCCAGAAAAGGUAAGUUCCACUAUUCCUCCCAUACUCCUGUACUAUACAAGUAGCAAUCGAAUGCUGACUUAAGCAUUGGAGAGUCGAAGACUGGGCCACCCCAGUCCCGACUCUUGACGUGUUGCUGCUUGUGCAGUUACAGGAUUCGGAACCAAGGAUUAGACCUCUCUUCCCGUGUUCUCGGAAGAGGUAGAAACACCUAGGUUGGCAAUGUGGUCGUCAGCUGCCUUGCUUUUGACCAGCAUGUCAUCCAUGUAGACUUCCAUGACCUCCCCAAUUUCUUCUUCAAACAUGGCAUUGACCAACCUCUAAUAAGUUGCUCCUGCAUUCUUGAGGCCAAAGGGCAUGACCUCGUAACAAUACAGUCCUUUGUCUGUGACAAAAGUGGUGUGCUCUUGAUCUGUGGGGUGCAUUUUGAUUUGGUUAUAUCCCGAGUAGGCAUCCAGAAAGCUGAGCAUUUUGAAACCGGCUGUGGAAUCAACCAGCUGGUCAAUUCGUGGCAAAGGGAAGCUGUCCAUAGGGUAGGCUUUGUUGAGGUUAGUGUAGUCAACACACAUUCGCAACUUGCCAUUAGGCUUGGGGACCAUGACCACAUUGGAAACCCAUGUCAGGUACGAGACCUCACGUAUGAACUUGAUUUCUUUUAACCGCUGGACCUCGGCCUGGAUGGCGCGAUACUUCUCCGGGUUAAAGGCACACCGUUUUUGCUUGACAUGGGGAUGGUCUUUAAGAAUAUUAAGUUUGUGUGUGAUGACAUCAGGGGAGAUGCCUGGCAUGUCAGCAUAGGACCAUGCCAAGACUGUUUGCUUAUCUUGGAGGAAGGCAAUGAGCUUGUGGCGGAGUUCCGGGUUAAGGCUCGUGCCAAUGCGGACCUUCCUCUCGGGAGCACUGGGCGACAGGGAUACCCAUUCUGUGUCCUCUGCUGGGUUAGGUCUCGGGGCUUGCUUCUUGUCUUUCCCUUCAGGGUCAUCCCUAAGGUCAUCAAUGGGUUUCGAGGGGCUAAGUGGCAACAUCUCAUAGGCACCACGUCCCUGUUGGAUGGCAUUAAGAUGACAAUGGUCAAUGGCGGCUCUAUCCCCUUGGAUUGUGAGUAUGCCUCCUGGAGUGGGCACUUUCAUAAGUAGCAUGUGACCUGCAAUGAAACAUUGUUGCCCCCAGAAUAAGGUUGUAGGAUGAGGAGUAAUCAACUAUGAGAAAACGUGUUGUGAUGGAAGCACGGCAGGGGCUGGUCCCUACUGACACUGUCAAGCAGUCUGAGCCUAAGGGUUGCACAAUCUCUCCCGAGAAGCUGACGAGGGGAUCACGAUUGUUAUAUAACUUAGCUCGGUCACGCCGGAGUCCUCUAUAACAAUCAGCAAACAUCACAAUGACCGCAGCUCCUGUGUCCACGAGGGCCCUAUGACACCUGUAGUGAUCCACUUGGACAUUGAUUAUGAAGGGUUCAUUGUGAUGGCAACUGAUCGUAUCUUCCCUCUUGUAAAAUGACACCUGGUCCCAUGUUGAUGGGGUGGUGGUGACACCUCUUUGCAGUUCAAGAAUCUCCAAGUGGCUCGUGCAUUGCCAUUUUGCCGAAGGCUGACAAGGAGGGAGUCACGAGGCGCCACCAUGUAUGGUUAAGAUCUGACCAUGAACCUCAAUGGUGUUGGCUCCCGUGGCGGGAGUGCAGUACUAAUGGAGUUGGCCAUUACGAAUCAAGUGCUCUAUGGCAUUGCGGAGGCCAUGGCACAUCUCAGUGGCGUGGCUGUUGUCAUCAUGAUAAGCACAAUAUUUGUUCCCUGUUGUGUGCCGGGGAUUUUUGAGAUAUUUGCUCUUAGGUGGCGGGGGAAUGAGAUCUUUGUGCCUAGCCCAUAUAUCCUCAUAUGUAGUGGUUAGGGUUGUAUGGACCUCGUAACGAGGUGGUGGGAAGCGACGUUGCUACUGUUGGGGGCUCUGCUAUCGGGACCGAUAAGGAUGGUCCCGUCCCCGCUGUCCAUUGUGGCGACGGUAUGAACUGCGCCCCUGGUUGUUGUCACGGGAGCUGCUAUGCUGCUUGCUUUUGUCUUGCCCUCGGUCAUAAUGGUCAUACUUUUGCUGGGAUUGCUGCUUAGGGGGUGGGGCUAGGAGUGCUAAUGUGGUAGUUGGGUUAGAAUGUCCAAAGGUGGCACACUCGGCGCGUGCCCAACAGACAGCAAGGUCCAUCAAGGCAUCGUAUGACCCUGGAGGGGUUCCUGUUAAUCUCCAUUAGGAAGCUGCCGGGAAGCAAAGCUUGGCGAAAAGCUUGCUCAACGACUCGGGGUUCCAAGUUGUGACAGCGUGCCGUGGCUGAUUGCCACCGAGACAGUAACUCAUGGAGUCCUUCACCCUCUUUUUGCUUGAUGUGGAACAAGGCAUCCACACUGCGGUAGAUGCUGGCAUGGAGUAUGAAGCGGUUGAGGAAGCGUUCCGAGAGCUGGUCGAAAUUGUCAAUGGAGUUGGGAGGCAAGUUAAGGAACCAACUAAGCGCUUCAUCGGAGAGGGUCUCUUGGAAAGCAUGACAGGCCAUAGCAUCUGUGUACUGAGUGGAACUGCAUAACGAGAGGAAUGUUUCAAGGUGAAGAUGAGGGUCUCCGACGCCCUUAUACUUGUCCACUUUGAAAGGCUUGGCCUGGGGUGGCCUCUUUUCCAUUUGCACCCGUGGCGUAAAGGGGCUUGAGCGGUGGCCAUAUCCCGAGAAUAGAGGUCGUUGGCUCCCGCGACUCUCAACACCUUCAAUUCGAGAGGCCAAUUGAGUGACAGAAUUGCUGAGCUGGAGGAGAAGUCGAGUUUGCAUGUCGAGAGGCGGGGUAGCAGUGUUAGCAAAGUUGAGAUUAGGGAGGGGUGGAUCAGAUGGCUCAGGCUGGUUUAGCAGGGGAAUGGAUUCGUUACUGAUUGUGGAUGGUUGUGGGGCUGGGAGUGGAAAGGAUGGGUGGGUGAGCGGAUGAGUGACAUAGAUAAUCUGGUUGGGGCCUCCCGGGAUCACGGAACUACUUUGUCCUUGAUUAGGAAAAAGAGAUGUCAAGGUGGCGUCUAGGGUGGGAGUGACCCUUGCUGCCCGAUCUAGACUUUCAUUAUAGUUGUUCCGGUGAUCUAAAGUGGCGUAGAGUAGGAAUUGUUCCUUUUCGAGCUCAGCGAUACAAACCCGAUACGCUCCAGCUUCCGCUUUUUCCUUAGCUGCUUGCUCUCGGAACGCAUGGAAGUUUUUUUUCAAAAUUUCAAGGCCGUGGUGGCAUCGGGGUGGUUAAUGGGGUCGCGGUAGCAGUAGUUUGGUUAUGGGAUGUGUCUCCAGAUUGGAAAAUUUCUUUUUCUAUCUGCGUCCCGGGUUCGUUUGGGUCAUCCGUAAUUUCUACCAUCCUGUUAAAAAGUUAAAUGGGAGUUCCACAAGAGAGGGCCCUCCUUCAAGCGCCAAUUGUUUCUACCUCUUCCGUGAACACGGGACGAAAGGUCGAAUCCUUCGCUCCGGGUCUUGUAACUGCAUAAGCAACAAUGCGUCAGGAGUCGGGACUGAGGCGGACCAGACUUUGACUCUCCGAUGCUUAAGUCAGCGUUUGAUUGCUACUUGUAUAGUACGGGAGUAUGGGAGGAGUAGUAGAACUUACCUUUUCUGGGGAUUUGUGCCUGUUUUAUAGGCUGGUAUUGGGGGUUUUGUCGUUAGUUCCUGAUGUGGGACUGUUCAGCGAUAUUGUUCAGUCUAUUCCCUUUCAGGGGUGUUUAGCCGUUGCAGAGUGGUUUUGGCAUGCAUGUUGCUGCUAUGCUUUCACUCUUUGGUUAUCUAUAGAAGGCUUGCCGGUGAUGGCUUGGCCGGAAUGGCUUCCGGCGAGUGGGUAUUGACACUGCGUUCUCGGCAUGGCCAAGUGUUUUGGUUAUGUAUUAACAGAUGCAAUAAGAAGAAACUUCUAAUUGUGAAAUUUUGUUGAAAGAAUUAAUUAGCAGAUCAAAUUUAUGAAAUAUACACGUGUGUUUUUCCCUGUUAAUGACUGAAGUAGCAAAAAUGCCAUAGUUUCUACAUUAUCAACACCAUCAUUUUGUUUCACUAUAAAAUCUUGCUAAUUGGAUGUAACCUAGUCUAAUAUAGCUAUCUUUGCAUUCCCUGUGUGAUGAGUGUUAAUGAGAUUGAAGCUUACAAUUAGGAAAUUUUAAUCAACCUUCAGAAUGUGACCAAUUAGGAUUUUGUAUACUUUCUUAUGUGGUUUCUUAUGUUUUCUGUAAUGCCCCGUACCCAAUUUUACCUAUUUACUGGGUCUACAAGUUACUGAGGAAUUUAACCGUGCUCGGUAACUUAGAAACUUAGCGUUUAAGUUUAUUUUUGAGUUUUUCUUGAAACAUCAAAUUCCUCUGCUAAGGUCUUGAUGUCGUAGUACUCGUCGACGCAAGUUCAUCGAUGUCUUCAGAUUAUUUUUGGAGCAUUGAGCUAUUUUCUAUGAUUUAUCGAAAAUGGGUAAAAGAAAUUAAUUUUCUGAAUUAGGAUAUAACAUUUAAUCUGGGCCGUCUGAUCAAGUAGGGUUUUGAUCUUAGCCAUUGGUUUGGGUAUAUAAGGAAAUGUGAUGGGUUGACUUCAGGAAAAAGCCCACGCUCGGUUUGACCCAAGCCCAGACUUCCCCCACCGUCUCCGGCGCGUCGUCACCGAUUCUGACCACCUCAGGUGGCAAGACCACACCAAAAUGAUCCUCUCUUCCCCUUCUACAAAACCUAAUUCUCUAUUCGCACAUCCACCCAUUCAAGAGAGAGAUCGAUGCCGAGGAAGUGCGGUGGUGUUUGCCGAUUUCCGGCGAGCUUGGGCAGCGAUGGCGAUUCCAGUGAGUACGGUUUCUUCUCUUUCUUCCUUCUUCUUCAAUUCCAUGUCCUUGAUCCUUAUAAUCAAGCCCUACUUCGAAAACCCCUUUUCUGAAAUUAUAUGGGUUUUGUUGAGGUUUUCGGCGAUGUGUGUUCUUGAGGUUCCUGACGUCUUCUUCAAGCUUCGGCAAGCCUAGCAGCGGUGAUUAGAACCCAUACGUGUUUUGAGGAGGAUUUGAAAAUAGAUACAACUGCCUGAGAAGCUUUGGGGCAGAUUAAAGGUGAGUUUUGCAUUUUGGCUAUUGGAUUGCUACUUUUGGUGACAAAUAGUUGUUGAUUAAUGAUUAUUUAGCUUGUAUGUCGAUUUUGGAGUUGAGGCUGCACAGUGGGGAUCUGACAGAGGGUUGAUUGGUCGUUUUCUGUAAGGAGGAGAAGCCCUAGUGCUCGAUUUGCUCAAACAUAAGGUAAUCUCGAUUCCACUUGGUGUGUGAUGCUACUGUAUUUCUGUGUUGUUGGCUAUCGAGUGAUUAAUUGGUGUUUUGGAGUUUGGUGACUGAUUUUGUCAGGACCCACCCUGAAUUUCACCUUGAAACCCAAAGUAAAUCCUACGGGGUCCACCUCCAAAGAAAAUUUACCGAAAAUUCGGCAUAAUCUACCUUGAAAAUGGACAACCCUUACCUGAAAAAAUUCCAGAUAAACACUUCUAUUAUAAAUCAUCCAUCCUCAACUCCUAGAGCCAUUCUGCUCCCCAAGUUCAUCACAUCUCCCAAAAUAUCAAUUACUCCUCUAAAAGAAUUCCCCAACUAACAACAAAGACAUUCAAUAAUUUACUCACUGGGUUAUUAGAGCAUAUCUAUAAUGAAAGAAAAACAAUGAAUAAAGAUUAAGUGGAAGCAGCCUCUGACUAUGCGCUCGACUUCAUGUACGCUCGACUUCAUGUACGCUCGACCUCAAUUAAACUUAGCCUGCAAACUGGGCAUUUAAAACUAAAGGGCCCAAGGGAAAGUAAUUUGAAAAAGUUAGAGUGAGUGGACAAAAAUAAAUUAAAUAAUUUAACAAAUACAUAAUUUAUAUAUUUUCCCACGUUUCAACUUUUAAAACUUAAUUGCACGCAAUUUUGAUAAUCCAAAUAACUUUAAAUCCAAAAUUCCAUAAAAAUAGACAAACCAGCCCCGCUGGUUAAUUAAAUACAAAAAUCUCGAAAACAGAGACAAACCAGCCCUGCUGGUUAAUCAAUUACAUAACUGAGAAAAAUAAAACGAGGGGAAGAGAUAUCACCAUGUAAAAGGAGCCUCCAAGACUCGGGUCGGUGCCUCCCAGGCUAUAGUAGCGUCCCACACUAAGCGCUCGACUCACCUAUGAUGAUGACCGCUAAUAAGGGUAGCUAGCAAUAAAUAAUAAUAUCAGAUCGGUGCCUCCUAGGCUAUAAUAGCGUCCCACGUUAAGCGCUCGACUCACCUAUGGUGAAGACGGCUAAUAAAGCUAGCUAGUAAUGAAUAAAAGCGACCCUAUAACAUGGUGAUUAAAAAUAUACGAAAUCACUUAAAUCCAUAAAACUUCUCCAAGAUCAUGCGAAUGGUACGGUUUCCAACCGUACUUGGAAAUUAUCAUAAGAAAUUUUAAAAUAAACUCGAUGACGUGUAAUAUUAUCAAAUCCAUAAUUAUAAGCGAGAUUUAAUUAACAAGUAUAAAUUGUAAAUAAUUUCUCAAUCCGAAAAUUCUCGCUAAAAAUACUCUCAAUGCCAAGAUCGAUAAUCCACAAAUAAACGACAAAGUUAUAAAAGGAGAAUUACGGAAAAUCCCAUUUUCAGAAAUCUUUUAUAAAUCUCAAAGUCCACCAUUUAAACAAUCAUAGUGAAAUCUGGAAUUCGUAAGGAAUUUCCAAACUCAAAUGCCAAAUUAAUAAUCCGAGCUCAAAUCCAUAAAUCAUAACUAACAAUUAAACAAUGUAUCCAACUCAAAUAUUGUCACAUUCCGACCCUUAAAUUUUUACCUCAUUUACUAGCUUGGUUUUAAUAAGAAUUUUACCUUCUUCGUCGUGAGUUUUUAGUUUAAAUGGUCCCUAGAGGAGUUUUGAGGUACGUUUAUUUCGGAGGAUUAUUCGUAGGAGAAAAAUGUGACGACGAUAAAAAUGGGAAAUUUUAGCUAGCAAAAGGUAAUUUUUAUUAGGGUAUUAUUUUCGGGUGUUUUAUUUUUGGAGUUGGGUUUGUUGUAGAGUGGGUUUUAAGUUGGACCGGGUGUGGGAGAAGCCCAACACCCACACACUCACUCUCUCUCUCUCUCUCUCUUCUCUCCCGCUCCCCGAGCCCCUCCCCUUGCCAGAAUUUCCGGCCAUCAGCCCGCCGUCGUCCGCCUGCCUUAGACCGCCGCUCUGGUCCUGAUCGGUCGGCCCUCGACCUAGCUUCCUUUCUAGACCGGUGAGAGCUUCCCUAGCACCGCCGUGAGGGAGAUUCUCCGCCUGGAACCUCCGACUGUCCAAAGCUCUCUGUCGCCGGAACUUCCUCCUCCGGCCACCAAUCCGGGCAAGCCUUAUAUGGUUUUGAAGGUCUCCAACCUAGUUGCCUUGCCCUAGAAGGUCUAGUUUGCUUCAGGUGAGAAGAACCGGUGAGAGUGGAAGUUCUAGGGUUUUUUGUUAUGUUUUCGUUCGAUUGGCAUAGUUAGGCUUGAAAUUGGUGUUUGUGCUAGUUAGAAAAGUUGUAGAGGGUGUUGAGAGGAAGAUGAUGUAAAAAUUUGGUAGGCAUUGGAGGUCGCCUGAGUCGGCCUCCGGCCGCCGCUGUUUAGGGGUUUUUCAUGGCUUUAAAUUGGUUAUAUUAAGGGGAGUUAUUGAUGUGAAUUUUGAAAUUUUUGGAGGAGUUUUAGAUAGGUUUGGGAAUUUUUAAAGUUUGGUAAUUUUGGCAGAUUAUUAGGGUAGAAUCCGACUAUUUGAUUAAUGUUGUUUAAUUUGUAGAAGGGUGUAUUUAAGGCUGCUGGUUUUGGUGUUGAAGUGUGGACCGAAUCGAAUUAGGAAUAUUGAAGUUAGGCAAUGAUGAGCGUGGUCAAGGCUCACAUUUAAUUUUGCGUAUUUUUGUAUAAUUAUUGAAAUUUGAGUUGAGAAUUUAUUAUUAUAUUUGGAACAGGACGUGAGGAGGUUCGAGCGGAAGAGGCCUCGGAUCGACAUCAGGCUUAGGCCUAAUUUGUGAGUGGACUUUUGUUUUAAAUAAUAUGCAUGCUAUGGUUCAUGGAUGAACAAUAAAUUUGGUUGGAGCAUUUGACCUCAUUUUAACUGUGACGAUUUUAUUUCUCUUGGAGAGUUACCGAAAAUGGGAUUUUCGGUGAAUAUAAAUAUGUAUUUAUGAGGAGAGUAUGUAUAUAAAUGCUAGCUAGCCAUAUGUGUCUGUCCACCUUAAUGGCGUAGCAUAUAGCCGCAUUAUGGUGUGACAUAAGCGUUGGACGUGAGCGUAGCGUAGUAGCCCUAUAUGAGCGUUUAAUUCUUAAUGGGGGUAUGGGCACAUAUUAUACACCCGUCUGUCAACCUUAAUGGCGUAGUGUAUCAUCGCAUUAAGGCGUGACGUGAGCGUUGGACGUGAGCGUAGUAGCCCUAUAUAAUUUCAUAAAAUUAUAUAGGGAGAAUGGACAUGUGUAAAUACAUAUAUAUAUAUAUAUAUAUUUUAGAGCUUGGGAAGCUCGAUAUUUAAGAGAUGAAAAUUUUAUCACUAGAGGCAUGCAUUCGUAUUUUUUUCCUUGGAAAUUGAAUUGGGAAAGCAUAAAUAUUUUAUUUAUUCUUUUAGUUAAAUUUAUUUUUGUCCACUCACUCUAACGUUAUUAAAUGUUUUCCCUUGGGCCCUUCGUUUUAAAAUGCCCAGUCUGCAGAGUUCGGGUUGGCACUAGUAGAAGGCGAGGCGUAGUUACCCACUUUUCCACCACUUUUCACCAGUAGGUUACCUGCUUAACCUACCAGUGUAUUUUCUUGCUUCCGCUAGUAUUAGUAGCUCUGAUUACCCUUGAGGAUAAUGUAUAUUAGCUCGGUUGUGUGCUAAGUCUUGGAUUUUUAAUUUGGAAUAUUUGAAGGUUGAACUUUGUUAUUUUUCUAAUUGGAUAUUUAUGUGAUGGAUUAGAAGAUGAUUUUAUUGUAUUGUUGUGGUGGUUGUAUUGUGGGGAGCGGGUGGCUCUAGGGGUUGAGGUUGGACGUGUCGUUAUAGGAGUGUGGUUUGAAUUUUUCAGGUUAGGGUUGUCCAUUUUCAAAGGAGGUUAUGCCGAAUUUUUUGGUAAAUUUUCCUUGGAGAUGGUCCUUGCAAGACUUACUUCGGGUUUCAGGAUGAAAUUUGGGGUGGGUCUUGACAAAUAUAUUUCAAAACUAUAUCAUAAUCCGAAAUUAUAAUAUAAACUCGGAAAAUAAAGUAAAAAAUUAUAAAAUCUUGCAUGCAUAUUUAUUAAAAACCAAAGUGUCCACUCACAAAUUUAGGCAUAAGCCCGACGAUAUCUGAAUCGCCACUCAAGUGAGAUCCCCCUCGUAUCCUGGCACAAUAAAAAUGUUUAGGACCAAACUUCAAUUCCGAAAAAUAAAUACUUAAAUAUAAACACCCAAAUCUCUUCCGCUUAACCCACUACUUUUACUAAAGUUAAUCUUAUCGGAUUCAUGCCAAACUCCACCCAUAACCUCAUUUCAUUUAUUUCAACCUUCUAAAACAGAAAUAAGGGAAAUCCAAUGGUAGAAUCUUCCCGAGAAACACACCGGUAAACCCAACUUCGAAUAAUCCCAAACAUAUUCUAGACUUCACCAUAAUUCUCAAACUUCACACCAUUGGACUCCUCUCAUCAUAACCAAAUUAAAUAACACAAAAAACUACCCAAAAGAGGCGGCACCGCCGUCUGCUCCAUCGGCAGCGGUGGCCGGCCACCCAACUCCGACCACCUCCAAUGGCUACCAAAUUUUGACACAAUCAUCCUCUCAAUAUUCUAAACAACUUUCAUAACUAGCACAAAGUCUAAUUUCAAGCCUAAAUAGGGUAAUCGAAGCCAAACAUUAAAAAUCCCAAUUUCAAACUCUAGAAUUUCAAACCUUCGAUUCUUCUUACCUAGCUCGAGUUAGGUUGAAUCCUUUUAAGGGUUUGCCGCACAAGAGGAGAGCUUCCAAAUAAUACUAGUAGCUCCAGCUAUGGUGGCCAGAAAAGGGAGUGUCCAGCGAAAACACCUCUGCGACACAGCCGCAACUUCACGGCAAAACUGCUCCUUCACGACGGCGCAACACGGGCUGCCACCUACCUAGACUUGUAGAGGAUACUCCAACCUUCAAAUCGAUACCAAACACGCCACCUAACUCGGCCAGACGACGGCGAACGGAGGUGGGGAAGUGGCCGGUCGGAGGAGAGGCGCGGGAGAUGAGAGAGAGAGAGAGAAAAUGGUAAGUUUCUGAUUUCUACCUUAUCUCAAAUGGUAAGUUUCCCUUUUUAUACCCCCAACCGAAAAUAGUAACUUUACAUUUUACACCAUAACUUUCACAUACGAACUCUGAUUUUAACGUAUAGCAUGUCCACGGAUUCGUAUUAACGUCCUCUACAACUUCCUUUAAGAAAUUUUCCCAAAAUACUUUUCCUACAAAAAGUCAACUCCAGGGUCCUUUAACAGUAAACGGUUACUCAACUCAGUAAAAGGUCAAAGUAACCUAAAAGUUAAUAACCGUAAAUUAACUUAAGAACCAGGAUGUGACAGAUUCAGUGUUUUGGUUUUUGCUUUAUGUCGAUAACUUGGAGUUUUGUGUAUACGGGGAAGCUAUGGCGAAAUUCCGGCAAGUGGCCGGAAUCCGGCAGAAAAUUUCGGCAAGUGGCCGAAAUCCGGCAGAAAUUCCGGUAAGUGGCCGGAAUCCGGCGAGGGCUUCUGGCAAGGCAGCAUAUUCGGCUGAGAGCCAUUAAGCUUAUUCGUUGGUUCGAUGAUUUGGAUGUUUGGGGGCAACGCUCGAGGAGUAUUCCGGGCUUUAUAUUGGGAAGUUAUAUAUUUAUAUUUAUGAGGAAAGUAUGUAUAUAAAUGUUAACUAGCCAUACAUGCCUGCCCGCCAAAAUGGCAUAGCGAUUAACCGCAUUAUAGUGUGACGUGAGCGUGAGACGCAAGCGUAAUAGCCCUAUAUGAGUGUUUUAAUUCAUAUAGGGGGUAUGGGCACAUAUAUAUACACCCAUCUGUCCACCUUAAUGGCGCAGCGAAUAACCGCAUUAUGGUGUGAUGUGAGCAUUAGACGCGAGCAUAAUAGCCCUAUAUAAAUUUCUUUAAAUCCAUAAAAUUUAUAUAGGGAGUAUGGACGUAUGUAAAUACAUACUUAUUUUUAUUAGAGCUUGAGAGGCUCGAUAUUUUAAAGUAUGGAGACUAGCGGGGCUAGUCGCGUAUUUCAGAUUUUGCCAAUUUUCUGAGUUAUGAGUUUUAUUAUUUAUUGUAUGCAGCGCAGUUUUCCUGAAUAGAUAAAUUUGGGAAAGCAUAAAGACUUGUCUCUUUUUGUCACACCCCAAUUUUUGAAGGAUAAAUUUCAAAAAUUUGGGCAUAAUAAAACUCAAAUUCUAAAUAUCCCAUAACCUGCUCAACAAAUUCCACAACUAAAAACAAACACUGGAAAUGUAAAUGUCGAUAAACUCAUCAAUCGAGUUAAACAUUUAAUCUCCUUAAUUACAUCAACUUCCAAAAGUCUAGUAAUAAACUACUUCGCUCACAUGAGCUCAAAAACAACUACCAUAAAAUACAAAUAAAUGUAUAUCGUCAAAAACCCAACUACUAGGCCACGGCCUCAAACCUUCUGAUCAUCACCUGUAGGCAUGAAUUGGUGCACCGGGUUGUAAACAACAAACCCGGUAAGCUAAAAAGCUCGUAUGAGUAACUCCCAAAAUAAUAACCCAACAUCACAUAUAAUUACAACUGGUAAUUCCUGCAAUUAGCAACUUAGUUCAGGAAUCGCCAAAAAGCAAGAGAAUUCAAAAGAAACAAUUAAGAAAACACAAUAAUUUAAAAUCAUUCAAAAUCAUAAAUGAAUCCUAUAAAUAAACAUAGUUCAAGAAUUCUAUUAAAAUCACACAAUUAAGAUUUAAGAAUCUUCUGCGGAUAAGCAUAGUUCAGGAGAUACUUAAAGCAAGAAAUUUAAACAACAUAUAAGAACAUCACGCAAACAUUUCUCUAUUCUUACUUAUGAGUUCGCCAACACUUAGUCAUCCCCCAUAAGUAACCAAACAAAUGCGUACUCAUGGAUUCGUCAACACUUAGUCAUCCCCCAUGAAAUACCGACUGACAGACUAGAGCUCUAUACUGACCGUAACCAAUCACCCGGCCAAGGCUUGGUUCCCGGUCCACCACGAAGGCUCCUAAUCUAAUAAUCACCACUAAGGCACACAUUUCAAUACUCUUCCAUCAUAACACUUAUCAAAUCACAAAAUAAUAAAUAUAAUCAUAACCGUAACCUAUCACCCGAUUAAAGGCUAGGAACCCGGUUUGACUAUUUAAACAACAAUUCAAAAUAUAAAAAUAUCAUCAACAACAACACAAGAGCACUUCAUAAAUUAUAUCUUUCCCACCUAGAUAUAUUUAUAUAAACAAAGACAUAGAUAUUCCCACUAGAAUAAUCUAUCAACAACCAUAUUUCAACAUCACCAUAUCACAUGAUUGAAAGUCUUUUUGAAAGAUUUAUUUUUAACAGAAAACUUGUUUUCACUUACCAUGAGCCGUUGACGAUCAAGCUCAUUUAUUUUUUAAAAAAAAGUCAUUUUCCUUCAAGGACAACUUCACUAUUAAUAAUAAUAAAAUUAUAAAAAUAAACUCGGAGAUUUACUCACAAUAUAAAAAUUGCAUCAUAAUCAUCAUAUCAUCAACAUUUCAUCAUUAUCAUUAACCUCAACAUCAUCAUAACAAUAAUCAUCAUUAUCAUUAACAUCACAAUCAUCAUCAUAAUCAUCUUCAAAAUCAACAUCAUAAUUAUUAUAAAAUAAUUGGUCCGAAAGUGGACCUUGGUGAGAUGUUACUCACCUAAAGAUCCCGCUGCGUCUUCACAAAAGAAACUCAAGAACAAGCACAACACCAACUUGUCCAACACCUAGAUAGCACAAAUCAACUUAGUGACCAACAAAACAAGUGAUUAUCACUUACUAGUUGCGACUAUGACAUUUCACUCUUGGACCUUGACCUCAAUUAACCCAAAGACUUGUCUCUUGAGAACAAGCUUUCCCCGAAGCCUCUCAAGAUCAUAGAAAAGUUGACACACACCAUGUCAUAUCUACAACAACAAUCUCCUUAAUUUCCAAAAGAUUAAUUAAGGGAAAACCGAAUCUAAUCCGAAAAGCAAUCACUCACAGCAACACAUACUAGCUAACACAAAAACUAACCCAUUCACAUUGCCCGGACGCGCUUCCACGCGCCGCCAAAGGCGACUGCGCGUGGGUCCCACGCGCCACCCCAAACUCAUUCUAUUAACUCUCCAAGCAACCCAAAACGACAAACAAGUGAAACCAAACAUCUUUCAUACCUGGAGUACUCGCCCAAUCGGUCGGAGCACGUCAGAAAACUGGCCGGAAGGUUGGAAAUCCUUCAUCGCAACUCCACACCGUGAGCCGCGCUAGAAAACCACCAGCAAACGAACCAGGACGCCAAGGAGCAUCUAUCCCGACUGGUUCCAAGCUGCGUCGCCGCCGCACACGGCCGGAACACCCUCGGGUCGAAGUCGGGUCCGCCAACCUCCGCUGCAACGCUCGAUUCUCUCAAACCCGCUUGAGUCGUCUUCACCCACCUACACAGAGAAGAUCACGCCGAGGAUAGGAAGAGUUUCCAACCGAUGCCGCUGUCUGAGUCCGCCAGAGUUGGCCGGAAAAACCGGGUCGGGUCAACCGGGUUCGGGUCGGGUCAGCUGGAAAACUCAGAUACCGAAGGUAUCUCGAGAGAGAGAGAAGGGAGGGAGAAAGAGAUGGUUCCGGUAAAAAAUGAAAGGGAAACUAACACUUUUCUUAUUUAACCCUAAAUUCCUUUAAAACCACAAACUUCCAAUGACCAUAACUUCCAUAUACGAAAUCCGUUUUACGCGUGCCACAUGUCUACGAACUCGUAUCGUCGUGCUCUAUAACUUCCGUGAAGGAAGUUUUCCAAGAAACCCAACAGAUUAAAAAGUCAACUCUUGACCCUUCAAAAAUCAUAAAACCCUUUCGGGUAAAUUACGCGUCUGAACACUUCCACUCUUUCUUCGAACCUCAAAAACACACUAACUUCUAACUCAAAAACUCCUAAAUACUAUUAGAAACUAAUAUCAAAAUUUCGGGGUAUUACACUUUUAAACUUUAUUUUUGUCCACUCACUCUAAUGUUUUUUUUUAAAUUGCUUCUCCCCUGGGCCUUUCGGUUUUAAAUGCCCAAUUUGCAGGAUAACUUAGUUGAGAUCGGACGUACAUGGAGAUGAGGCAUAGUCCAUUUUAUAGCUUCUGCCUAUUUGUAUAUUUUUGUUUAUUUCUUUCAAGAUUAGAGUUGCUCUGAGCCUAUGAUUGUUAGUUGUGGGUUUAUUUUUAGUUUAGUAAAUAAAUUGGGAGGUUAUGCCGAAUUUAGGGAGCACGAAGGCUCCAGGAGUAUAAGGUUGGAUUUGGAUUUUUAGAAGUGUUUGCAAGUGUUUUUAGGAAGGGUUAUCCAUUUUUAAGGGAGGUUAUGCCGAAUAUUCGGUAGAAUCUCCUUUGGAGGUGGUCCCCGUAGGGUUUACUUCGGAUUUCAAGAUGAAAUUUAGGGUGGGUCCUGAAAUUUUCUCUGCAAUAUACUCGAUAUCAUUUUUACAAUCUACUACCUUCAUUGAAGUAGAUAUAUAUAAUACUGUCACUCUUACUUGAGAAUAUGGAACCAUAUAUAACACUACACUUGAACAUGUAUGAACCAUAUGUGCACUACACUGGAACAUUUAUAAACCAUUCAUUGAAGUACAUGCAUCAGUAUAUAGUGGUACUCGUGCCUUGCAACUUUUGUAAUGAAGUACGCAAUCUUCUAGAUUAAACAGACAAAAACGCAUUAAUGACUCUGGAAAUCAGAAAAUUACCUUGUAUAUAUUUGGAUUAAGAAUUUCUGACUCACACUGGCCUUUUUUCCCCACAGCUUUUAGCUCUUACAGACUCAUGAGUUUCUUAGCAGGGCUGUCAUGAGUUUCUGCAUUUUUAUAACCAUAAAAUCAGAGAUGUUG